GUGAUGGUGGUGGUGGUGGUGGAGACUUGUACUUAUAAGGAUGCUUUGGUGGUGAUGGUGGUGGAGGUGGUGGGGACUUGUACUUGUAAGGGUGCUUGGGUGGUGAUGGUGGUGGAGGUGGUGGAGACUUGUACUUGUAAGGGUGCUUGGGUGGUGAUGGUGGUGGAGGUGGUGGAGACUUAUACUUGUAAACUGGAGAUGGUGGGGGUGGAGACUUGUACUUGUAAGGGUGCUUGGGUGGUGAUGGUGGUGGUGGUGGGGACUUGUACUUGUAAGGAUGCUUGGGUGGUGAUGGUGGUGGAGGUGGAGGAGACUUGUACUUGUAAGGAUGCUUGGGUGGUGAUGGUGGAGGAGGUGGUGGAGACUUAUAGUUGUAAACAGGAGUUGGUGGGGGAGGAGAUUUGUACUUGUAAGGCUUCUUGUGUGGUGGUGGUGGUGGAGAGUAGACCGGAGGAGGCGGUGGUGGAGACUUGUAAUGGUAAGGUGGUGGUGGGUACUUCUUAGGUGGUGGUGGAGGAGAAGAAUAAGUGUAAUCUGCUGAGGUUUCAAAAGGCAAAUUGAGAGACACUGCUAAAACUAAAAGAGUGAGAAAGAGAGAGGUCAUUGAUGACCCCAUUUUCCCCAUCCUUACUUCUAAAAAUGGGUUUAAUUUGGUUAUGCUCUUAGCAGCCCUCUUCACUCCCUUUAUAUAGACUUUGUUUUAAAGUUACAAUCAUGAUAAAAGUGUGAAGGUGGACCGAACCUUCAGCAGCAUUGAAAAAAGACGUUACGUUUAGGUUAUUAGCAUGGUAUGACAUAAUAAUUCUCUAUUCUCUUCCUUGUCGUUUCCCAUAAAUUUAAUUUAAAUAGUCCAUUUGCUAUAUUUAUAUUUCUGUUUCUCUAUUAAAUAUUUAUCAAAUUCAUUUCUCACUCCUUAUAGAAUAUGAAUAAUUAAUCAUUAAACUCGAUUUAGUAAAUACUUUAAAAAAUGAUUUAUCUUAUUUUUAUGCUUUAAUUAAGGCAUCAAAUCAUUAAUCCCAUUUGAUAUUAUGAAAAUUUAUCACUUAAUUGAUCAAAAUGUGAUUCUUGGCAGGAAAACAUAAUUUACUUUCCUUAAAAUGUAAUUUUUAUUGAGAGUUAUUUUUCCACUAACAAUAGAAAGUGAUUCUCUUUAUAAUUCGUGAAAAAAUUACUUUCACAUGUAAAUAAAAAUUGUUAGGAUAAAAUUAACUUUUCUUUUAUUUAUGUUAAGGUUACUAAUUAACUUAUUCAACUUUAAUAAAAGAUAAACAUAGUUGUAGCUUGUUUGUUGAUGUUAGUUUUUUGUCUUUACAACUUCAAACCAUUAUUCUAGUGUAAUUUUUUUUUCUUUCUAAAUAGUAGAUAAGUAUCUAUAUUUUAUUUUGCUAUAAGAAAAUUAUAUUUUUUAGCAUACAAAACUUAAGAUAACUUGUAGAAUCAAGUAGUUGUAUACCUAUUACUCUAGCAAUAAUAAUAUUGACAUUGUCUACUUUCAAAUUAAAAUUUCAAAUUAGUUCAUUGCCCAAUUUUCUCAUUAAAAAAAAUUAUAUAUAACAUGUCAACUUAACGAAACUUACAUGAAAUUUUGUAUGUGUUAAAAAUGAAAAAUAUGGCGGUUAUUAAAAAAGAUGUCAUACAUCUAAAUCAAACUACUAAUUUAAAAAUUAGUAUUGAGAUAAUUUCAAGCCAUAUAUGCAAUAUUUGAGUAUACUUGAACUUAUACAUACAAAUUAGUGAGGAUUAAAAUUUUGUAAAUUGUACAUCUUCACAAUCUUGCGUUAAUAUACAAUUUUUUUAAUGUAUUAAUAUAAUGUUUUAGAUCAAGACGUGAAAAAACAUAAUUCAAAUAUUUGUUAAUAGUAAAAAAUUAUUAAUAAAUAUUUAAUUCAAAAUUUAUUAAUAAUAAAAAUUAUUGAAAAAUAUUAAAUACGUUAAUAUUAUUUUUAUUUAAUAAUGAUACUUUUGUACAGUAAUCUUAUAUUCCCAAAUAAGUGUUAAAUGUGUCAAGAUUUUAAUCAAUACUUUCCGGUGAUUACCAAACGUUGUGAAGUAACUUCUUAAACAAUAAUAUUCUUAUCAAUCACAUUCCAUUAAAAUUUUAACAUAGAAAAGCACCAAAACGCCCCCUUAAAAUCGUGGUAAGUCUUGUUUGUCUAAAAUUUAAAUAUUUAUUUUAUUAUUUAAAAUAUAUUAAUUUUCUAAAAAAAAUCAUUAAUAUUUAUAUUUCUAAUUUUAAACAUUCUUUUGUUAAUUAAAUGAUAGUCUAAACGGUUAAACUCAAAUCGAAAGCAUUUUAUCUUAUAUUAGAUUAUAUGAAUCAUAUUAUGGUUGAAAGUAAAAUGUAUAAAAUCAAUACAAACAUCAAAUAUUAAACUUCCACUCAAUAGAUUUUAAAAUUUCUAAUUUUAUCACUAAUCUAUUUUAAGAUUUUUUUAAAAAAAAUCGUACUUUAGAUUAUCUAAUUUAAAAUUUUAUAAAAUUAUUAAAAAAUAUUCUUGUAAUAAAAAAAAUUUGUUUUAAAAUUUUUAAUUUUUUAUAUAACCAAUGAAUUUUUUACGUUUGUUUUAACUGGUUAUCUAAACAAAAUAAAAACUUAUUUAGUUUAAAUAAAGUGGUAAAUGUGAAAGCACCACAAAUCACAACUACAUUAGUUUUAUAAUUGGAUUAAUUUAAUCACCGGCAGAGGAAAUGUGUUAGUUCUAGCUACCAACAAUUCAUUUUAAUUCCUUUAAAAAUAUUAGAAAAAACCAAUUUGAUUUUUAAUAAUAGAUCUAAUUACUUAAAGGAACAUGGGUGAUGUGCACAUGGCAUACAAGCAUAAAAAAGAACAAAAAGAUUAAGUAUCUUUGCAAAAUAUCUCUCUCUGAAAUAAAUAAAACUUAAAAAAAAACAAUUUUAUUAUCAAAAUAAAAAGAAAAUAGUGUUUUUCUUCACAAAAAAAGAAAAGAAAAGAAAUACUAGUGUUUUUAAUUAAAAUAGAGUGAUCUGGGUAGAAUCUUUUACUUAAAUACUGACAUUGACUUUAUAAGCUAUUUUUUAUCAAAAGAAGAAAGAGAAAAGCAUCCGAUUGAAGAUGUGAAUUAUUAAGUUAAAAUUAAUCAUACAUGUAAAAUAUUAUUGUGCUUUUUUCUAGCCCUCCGAAAGACAUUAUGCUUUGAUUACAACAUUCUUCCUCAGAGAUGAGGUUUGAAGAUGAACUCGGAUGCAUUUAGAUUUUUACAAGACGAAAGUAAAUUAAAGGAUGUUAGUACUUGUAUUCCGAUACGCUUAUAAUACAGAAAGCAAGUAAUAUGUGACUGUACAUAAUGGCUAUGAGGCGAGGAUAUGAUACGAGAAGAUAGAGAUGAGAGAUUGCACUUAAGGGGUUAGCACCUCUUUUCUUUUUGUGUUUGGUCCCCAAAGCAUAUCUCUUAUUGGCUGAUGUUGCAAGGCGGUCCCAUAAGUUGGGCUAAAAGUGCUUGAUAGCUAGAAUUAAUAUUGUGGUAUAACAUAUGUCACCCCUAUAUUUGAAUAAGGUUACAAAGUGACUACUUGAAGAUUUAAAAAAGCAUGGAGAUAAUUUUGUUGCGAAAAUUAAAAGUAAGAGCUAAAUUGUUUGGCUUUAUUAGAGUAUAGACUCUGUUAGUCUAUUAUCAUUUUGUUAUAUAGGCUGGAAUAUUAUUAGUAAGCAGUUAGCAGCAGUUAGUCAUACAAGUAUAAAUUCUAUUCAUGUAUUGUUCAAAGAUAAGCUAAUAAUACCAGAAGAGAUUUAACAUGUUCAUUCUACUUUUUUUUGUUAUUCUUCAUAAUACAGUUGUUAACAUGGUCUCAGUCGCCAAAUUUCUUGGAGGUUGCUUCUAUUGUAGAUCCAUGGCCAAUUCCACUGAUUCUACCUUCGCUGGUCGUAGCAGUCCCUCAUUCUCAGUUCAUGUUUGGUUCAAUCGUUUCCUCGUCAUGGCACUGUGAAGUUAGAUGAAGGAAAUUUUGUACAAUGGCAACAGCAUAUCCAAUUGAUAAUUGAAGGAUAUGAACUCAUAAGAUUUUUAGAAGGGACGUUACCUGCUCCGCCUCGCUUUGUGUCAUCUCCGGAUGGAAACUUAGCUCUGACUCCCGAUGCAUCCCUGUUUGUUCAGCAAGAUAAGUUACUCGCUUAUUGGUUACUUUUUACGAUUAGUGCUCCUUUGUUUUCUUGUUUUACAACUGCUAAGACGGCGUGUGAGGUUUGGAGCACUGCGAAUUGCCUAUUUGCUGCUGCCACUAGAGCCAAGCUUUCGCGUAUUAAGCAUGAACUCCAGUCCAUCACGAAAGGCGUGAUGACUAUCAAAGAGUAUAUUGCUAAGAUUCAAAAUACUUGUGCGUUACUCGAGGAAUCUAGAUCAGUGGUUUUAAAGGCUGAAAAGGUAGAGAUCAUUCUUGCCGGCCUAUUGUCUGAUUAUGAUGUCGUUUUAACUCUGGCAUCGUUCUCAACUGAAACUUUUUCGUUAUAAAAGAUUGUUGAUAUGCUUCUGGAGUUCGAAAGCCAUCAGACUCAAGCGGUGAACGACGUACCUUUUCAUGCUCAUUUGGUAGAGGCCACUUCGGCGACAUCCGUGGAGGACUCCGUACGUGGUGGUCGUCCUCCUUCUGGUGCUCGUAGGCGCGACUUUCGAUCUCAGCUUCAGUGCCAGGACUAUGGUUGCUAUGGACAUUUGGUACAAUGCUGUUAUUAUCAGUUCAACCGCGACUACAGUGAUCUGUCUGUUUUGACCAUGGCGCGGGUUUCGCCUGUUCAUGCUGAUCACAAUUAGCAUAACGAUGUUUUUGGCGCAAGUGGUCUCUCGACUAGCUGGUUUUCAUCAACUUGUCCUGGUCCGGACCCGUUCGUGCCUGGACAGUAUGUCGAUUCUUUGGUGGUGACACCGGCGUAUUUCUCUUAUGGCUCAUCAUGGUGAGGGUGGCCACAUUUGCAAAACAAUGCCUCCCUUGUGCCAAGUUUGUUGAAUGUUAAGGUUUCUAACCCUUUUGCUCAUAAUUUUGACGAUGGGGCAGGCUAGGUGUUUGGGCUCGCUGUUGGACCAAGCUCAAAUUGUGGCCAAUUUGGUGGUCCUCACUUACCGCGGAGAAUGGGCCAGCACGUUAGGCCAUUUGCUAGUGUUCCUAGGCCGACUGGUUCAGGCCAAGAUUUUGGGCCAUAUGGAAUUCGUAGGCUAACCAGUGCUGGUCCUAACAUUGGACAGGGUUCACUUGGGCCAAAUGUUAAUUUUGUUAGACUUGAGGGCUCUUUUGGGCAUGGACAAGGACUUUGGCCCACCACUGGCAAUGUUUCAGUGCCAAAUAAUGGGUCAUGCGUUCCAUGGCGCACUAAACUGACGGCGCACAUUAUUGAUUGAUUUCUCACUGUGUGUUGGGUUGCCUCACAUUCUUGAUUUUCAUGUGUCUGAUAUUUUUACUACCUCUGGGUCCAAUGCUAACACGACUCCGUAUGGGUCUAAUUUUGAUAAUGAUAACUCUUACAUUCCUAUGCCUGUAGGGACCUUGUCCUGGUGUCUUAAUUCAGGGUCUAUACAUCAUGUCUAUCGAGAAGCCUCUACCUUGAACGAGUCUACGCCAUACUCAGGUACAUCUCCUCUCCUCAUGGAUGAUAUUACUCCUACAAAAAUAUCAUGUGUUGGAAACUCUAUCUUGCCUACGAAGACUAAGCUGUUUCAUCUAUCUAAUGUUUUGUGUGUGCCAAAUAUACGGAAGAAUCUGCUAUCUGUCUCUCAAUUUGCUAAUGACAAUAAUAUGGUCUUUGAAUUUCACCCGUCUUAUUGAGGACAUCCAGACUCAGGAAAUUUUGCUUCGGGGCCACACUCGUGAUGGGCUCUAUUAUUUUUCGUAGGUUACUCAUGUUCCGUCUGUCGUUGUUCCUUCUGUUCACAACACUGGGCUCCAGAGUCGCAAUGCCGGUGAUGAUGUUUUUACGUUAUGGCACUACAGACUUGGUCAUCCGUCUGCCUCGAUUGUUAAACUUGUUCUCGAUAAGUGUCAAGUUGUUUCAACUAAAAUGUACCUUGAAAAUAUUUGUAUUGCUUGUCAAAAGGGGAAGUCCCAUAAACUGUCUUUUUCAAGUUCUACUACUAAAUAUACGGAUUUGUUUGAAUUGGUUGUCUUUGACUUAUGUGGACUGGCAUCUGUUGUCUGUAGAAAUAAUCUGUAUCAUGUUUCGUUUAUCGACAUGUGUAGUUAUUUUACUUGGAUUUAUCUCAUUAAACGUAAUUCUAAGGAGGUUGAAUGUUUUCUUCAGUUUCAGAAAAUGGUCAAAACUCAGUUUGGGAAAGAUAUUAAAAAAAUUCAAAGUGAUUGGGGUGGUGAGUUUCUUGCCUUUACGUCAGUUCUGGCUAGUCAUGGGAUACUUCAUCACCUCUCCUGUCCAUAUACAUCCGAGUAGAACGAUGUAGCUGAACGAAAACAUCGACACAUUGUUGAGAUGAGUCUUAUUCUAUUGGCCAAAGCUAACCUAUCCAUGGAUUUCUGUGGUUUCGUAUUUUACAAUGCCAUUCAUCUCAUUAGUCUUCUACCGACCCUAGUUCUGAAAGGUCAGUCUCCAUAUCAGGUUCUUCAUGGUAGUGACCCUACAUAUGAUCAUUUACAAGUAUUUAAGUGUUGUUGAUUUUCGUACCUGCGUCUGUUUCUGCAACACAAGUUGGAUUUUCAUUCUCAGCCAUGCAUAUUUUUUAGGUAUAGUUCUCAACAUAAAGGCUAUCACUGCCUCACACCAAAUGGUAAGGUCAUUGUCUCUCGUCAUGUUGUGUUUGAUGAACGUUGGUUUUUCUUUUCUUCAAAUGCUGUGAACACCGUUCAGUUAAGUCCAUGUAUCUCUACAUAUGUUCCUAUUGUUCGGUCUUCAUCUUGCCGCCCCACGACAUCUUCGCUUGUUCGACCCACUGAGUCAUCGACUCUUGCUCCUAAUUGUAGUUCCACGCUGUCUGUUUCAGUUGACACUCCGGCUGAAUUAGGUUUUACUCAUGAGGUGCAUCGGCUCUCUACCUCAUCCCUUGAAUCUCGUCAAUGCGAUCCAACUACAAUUCCAUUGGCUGUUCCAUCUAUUUCUCUGGAAUACUCAUAACACUAUUACUCAGCUAGACCCAAAGCUCUGUCUGUUGAAAUUGUCAACUGUGAGUCGAUCACGAUUGAAGAGGCGCUCGCUAGUAAGGAAUGGCAAUUAGUUGUCCAAGCUGAGUUUGUUGCUAUAAUGGUUAACUCCACUUGGGAGCUUGUUCCCUUACCUCAUGGUCGAAAAGUGAUUAGGUGUAAGUGGCUUUUUAAAAUAAAAAAAUCCUGAUGGGACUAUCACUUGACGUAAGGCUCGGUUGGAAGCAAAGGGUUGUUCUCAGGUACUCAGGUGUGAUUUCAAGGAAACCUUUAGUUUGGUAGUUAAACCUGCUACUAUUAGAACCAUAUUAUCUGUUGCUAUCUCCAACGGUUGGCAAUUUGGUCAGGUAGAUGUGAACAAUGCUUUUUUAAAUGGUGAUCUUAUUGACGAAGUGUUCAUGCAGCAACCUCUAGGCUAUGUUCAGAUUGGUCAAAAUGGUGAGCCCUUGGUGUAUCAUUUGACAAAGGUGUUGUACAGAUUAAGACAAGCUCCACGUGCUUGGUUUGAUAAAUUGAAACGUUUUUUUGUUUCUAUUGGAUUUGCUUUAUCCAAAUCUGAUGUAUCCUUAUUUGUUCAAGUUAAUUCGAAUCCACUAUUUAUGUUUUAGUCUAUAUGGAUGAUAUUAUCGUUACUAGAAGUACGAUCGACGGUAUAAAUGGCUGUAUUCAAUAGUUACAUAAUGUGUUUCCCUUAAAGAUAUGGGAGAUCUUUACUACUUCUUAGGCAUUGAAGUCACUCGGUAGUCCACUGGGAGUCUCCAUUUGUGCCAACGCAAAUACAUUCGGGAUCUUCUUGACAGUAGUUUUUUAGCUAAUGCAAAGAGUGUUCACACACCGAUGGUUAGUUCUUUUACGUUGUUUAAAGAUGUGGGAGAUCGCCUCGUUGAUCCUACUGGAUAUAGAAGUCUUGUCGGUGUAUUACAAUAUGUGGUCUUGACUCUGCCUGAUAUUGCUUAUGCUAUAAAUCAUGUUUGUCAAUUCAUGCAUGCCCCUACUACAGUACAUUUGGUGGCUUUGAAAAGAAUCUUGCACUAUUUAUGUGACACUAUUAAUCAUGGGUUAAUUUUGUCUGUUCAACAUAUUGUCUUUAGUUGGCUAUGCUAAUGCCAACUGGGGACUGGAUUUUGAUGAUCGUAAAUCAACAACAAGCUAUUGUUUGUAUUUUGGGUAUACACCCAUCUCUUGGUGAUCUAAGAGACAACUCUACUGCGUGAGGCGAAGUAUUUUGGCCGCACCAUGGCUGAGGUGAAGUAUCGAAGUCUAGCAACAACUACCAGUGAUGUUACUUGGUUAGUCUCUCUACUAACAAAAUUACAGAUUCAUUCUAUAGAUCCACAUACUAUUUGGCGUGACAACUCUAAUGCAGUAGCGGUCAUUGCUAAUCCGGUCUGACACUCUAAAUUUAAACAUGCCAAGCUUGAUCUAUUUUUUGUUCGCGAAAAGGUCGCUAAUGGUUCUCUCGUUGUCGGUGAGAUUCUAGCAUGUGAUUAAGUUGCUGACAUUCUCACAAAACCACUGUUCGUCUCUACUUUUGCUAGGUUUCGUAGUCUGCUUCAAUUCUUACCUCUUGAGAAGCUGGGUGAAGCCAGGUGAAUAUUAGAGUAUAGACUCUGUUAGUCUGUUACCAUUUUGUUAUUCAGGCUGGAAUAUUGUUAGUAAGCAGUUAGUCAUAGCAGUUAGUCAUACAAUUAUAAAUUCUAUUCAUGUAUUGUUCAAAGGUAAGCUAAUAAUACCAAAAGAGAUUUAAUGUGCUCAUUCUACUUUCUUUGUUAUUCUUCAUAAUACAGUUGUUAACAUGCUUGAUAUCAUCUCUUAGAGAGAACGAGGAGAGAUAAGAGUAAGAGUAUGAGCCAACUAGGGAUAAGGCUCUACCAUAAUACCUUGGAUGCAAUUAAAGUAAGAGUAAGAGCCAACUUGUUUGGCUUGAUAGCAUCCCCUUAUAGAAAAGGCUCUACCGCAUGGCAUGAGAGCAAUAAAAGUAACACUCAAUUUCUUGGGUUGAUAGCAUCUCCUUAGGGAAAAGGGUUUACCAUGUGACAUGAAAGCAAUUAAAGUAAGAGUAAGAUCCAACUUGUUUGUCUUAAUAGCAUCAUUUAAGAGAAAUAUCCCAAUCAAUUUAUUCAAAUAUGUUAAUCAAAUAAUGCAAGUUACAAUGUUCUGUCAGUUUUUCCUUUAAUUGUAACUGGGUUAAAGUUGGUAGUUGUAACUGCUACUAAUAGAAUGGAUACGGUAGAAAUGGUUGCAAGCAACAUAAGCAAAGAUGACUUUAAUGUCUUUGUAUUGACCACGUGAGAACUAUAGAAUGCAGAGAAUAGUAUGGUGAUUGGCAACAGAAUGCUACUAACCUUGAGGAUAGUAGACAGGGAUGGAUCCACGGGGGUUGGGGGCGGUCCCCCCUUGGAAUUUUUAAAAUUUUAAAUUUUAUAUAUAAAUUAUCAUGUAUUUUAAAUUUGGUGUCCACAUUGUAUAGCAUUCACCCCCCUUUUCCAAAUUGCAUUUCAUAUCAUUUGCCCUCUUAAGCCAUAAGGUUAUACUUUAUAUUAACAAAGUAUUUUCCAUUUUUUAAUUAUAUAAAUUUAAUAAUAAUAAUAAUAAUCAAAUAUUAAUAUAUGAUUGGCAUUGAAAGACUAAACAUAAAGGUCCAGUUGAGACUUUAAAGCCAAAUUCCAUAAUUAAUUAAUUGAUUUGGCCCAUACCAGUACAUAUUAGGUUAGCGAAAUUCUUGUAUUUUGAUUUGUAUGUCUUGCUAAGGAAUUAUCUUCCUUUGGUAAGGUGUUGACACUGCCAAGAGAAAAAGAAAGGAUUUUGAUGUCGAGAUUGUGAGCAUAGAGUAAAAAAAAUACAAAUUAUCUUCCUCUUAGCUCCUUAUGGAAAAAACCUCUCGGUAAAUAUUUUUGCAUAAAUUAUGUUUUUUAUUAAUUUGACUUAGUUUUUUUCUUUUUUCCUAAUACAUUGUUGUUUAAUAUAUUCUUACAAUCAUCAGGUUUUUUGACUAAAUUAUGGUCAAUAAAAACAUCGAAUCUAUUUAAAAAAAAAGAGUGUCAGAAAGCAAUAAUGAUCAACCGGUUCCUCAACCUUCCAUUAUUAGUGAAGAAAAAUCAAAUAUCGGAUCUUCCAAAGCUCUUGAACAAAAUAUCAGGUCUUCUUAAGCCCAAGCUCCUAAAUGCGGUAUGGAGUCUUCCCCAACUCCUGAACGAGAUUGUAACAAUCCAUACCCAAUUCGAUCACCAAAUCCAAGUAGAGAGCGCCGCAACUUAAACCAUAUGAAUUGAAUAAUAAAUAUUUGAAAUUUAUUAAAGUAUCGAGUUCUUGGUGUAACCCUCAGUAUAACAAUACGAAACAAUUAAAUCAAUGAUACGCCAGGAAAAAAUGUUUUUAGGCAAAACACAUGGCGGAAGCCUUACAAAAUUUUAUAAGUUUAUAUAAAAUGUAAGAUGAGUUAAUCCCAUACAACAGUUUCAAGUGCAUCGUUGGCGGUUAAAAGAACAUUCAAAAACUAUUCGGCGUAUAUGCCAAUGAGACAAUCACGUGGAACAAGAUAUAGUAGCUUAAACACAUACAUCACUUACCACGUCAUCAUAACAUAUACUAACCAUAUAAACAAACUUAUCGAGCUGCGAACUAACAAGUUCACCCAAACAUCUAGGGUUAGCGAUAACUUAUUAGAAGAGCCCGCCAAACCCUAGAGUUCGCCAAAACCUGGAGUUCACCAAAUGGCGACUCCCAUAGAAUACGCCAAACACACAACCAAAAAUAAAUACUCUACUAAUUUACUCAUUUUAUAUUCUUAGCAUAAACAACUAUGCACCAAACAGUAACUUGAUACAUUAUCUUUCGGGCGAGUUGUUACAAUUCUCCCCCAUUUAGAAACUUUUGUCCUUGAAAUUCUUACCGGUGAAUAACUGAGGAUAUUGUUCUUUCAUCGAACUCUCUCUUUCCCAAAUGGCUUCUUUUGUAUUGUGAUUUAUCUAUAAUACAUUAACCAAAGGAAUUCUUUUACUUCUCAACUCUUUUACUUCCCUUGCUAAAAUACAAACAGGUUCUUCUUCAUAGGACAAGUUUUGCUCCACUUCCAGUGCUUUGACUUGUACCACAUAAUCUGGAUUGGAUUGAUAUUUUCUUAACAUAGAUAUAUUAAACACAUUAUGUAUAUUUGAUAACUCUGGUGGCAACACCAGUUUGUAUGCCACUGGACCAACUUAUUCCAAAAUCUCAUAUGGUUCUAUGAAAUGCAGACUUAAUUUCCCUUUUUGUUCAAACCUUAUGAUCUUCUUCCAAAGAGAAAACUUCAUAAAUGCAUUGUCACCCACUUCGAAAGAGAUUAUUUUCCUUUUUAGAUCAGCAUAAGCUUUCUGGCGAUCUUAAGUUACUUUCAGAUGAUUUCUAAUGAUAAAGACUUUCUCUUCUGUUUCUCAUACUAAAUCAAGACCAACUAUUUUCCUUUUACUGAGUCUCAUCCAAUAGGUAGGAGAUCUGCACCUUCGUCUAUACAAAGCUCCAAAUGGUAACAUUCCCAGACUGUCAUAAUAACUAUUAUUAUACGCAAACUCUAGCAAAGGAAGAUAUCUUUCUCAAUUCAUUCUAAAAUCUAUAAUACAACCUCUAAACAUGUCUUCUAGAACUUGAAAUACUCUUUCAAAUUGCUCAUCGAAUUAGGGAUGAAAGGUAGUACAGAAUCAUUAUUUCGUUCCCAACGAUUCUUGCAGUUGUCUCCAAAAUCUCAAUGUAAACAUUGGGUCUCGAUCUGAAACUAUGGAUGUUGGAAUCCCAUGAGGCGUACAACUUCAGAAACGUAGAGAUUAGCCAACUUUUCCAAUAAGUAAUUUGUGCGGACAAACAAGAUAUGGGCUAACUUAGUAAGUCGAUCUACAAUUACCUAGACUGAGUACUUCUUCGAAAGGAUGAGAGGGAGAGCCAAAACAAAAUCCAUGGUGAUCUUAUCCCACUUCCACAUAGAUAUCUCUAAAAGGUACAACUUGCCUAAGGGAACCUGAUGUUCUAUUUUAAUCUGCUGACAUGUCAAACAAAUGGAAAUGUACUUUGUUAUUUCUUUCUUCAUUUCAAGUCAGUAAUACAAACUUAUCAAAUUAUGAUACAUUUUAUGUAAAACUCUCAACCCAACUCGAAAUGUCGAGUCUGGAUCUCGGGUAUUACUAUACAUAAUACUUGGCAAAAUAUCAAAAUAGUUGACAAAUACUCUUUAUAGAAAACAUUUUCUUAUUAUUUUAACCAAAAGACUAAAUAUUUAAUAACAAGAGAAAAUAUUAAAAACAAAAAAAAAUUAUUACAUCAGACUUGGUACAACUCAUUAUAGUAUAAAAUUUUGUUAAAGACAUACUCUUGGGGCAUAACCCUAAUCUAAGCCACUUUUCCACUAUAUGCAUAAUAACCCACUUCGCCACUAUCUUGGCGUACUCCUAGCAUCGUCACUCCUAAUGCAUUCUCUACCCAUACACCUGAAAACAACAACAUUUUAAGCUUAAGAUAACUUAGUGACUUUUAUCCCAAAAAUACCUUGGCGAGUACUUUAUAUUAUUUGAAGAACAUUUGUGCGCCAUCUAUCCUUCUGAACCACCUUCUUCUGAAUUAAGUGGAUACUAUUAUAGAUUCAACUUUCACUUACACGCCAACUAUCAUACUCUUAACAAACUCACUUAUUCUAGAAUAGUUGUUCACAUAUAUUAAUCACUAAUUGAUACAUUCAUAUUUGGCGAAUACUUACGCAGAUCUGAAUACCAUCAAACUACUAAUCAAAUCAUACCUUGAUCCGAUACCAUACAAACUCAUACUGAUAAUGUACUACACAAAUUAUUCAAAUGAAUUUUCCACUACUUUGUUACAGGACCCCAGAUAAUCAUCAUAACAAUAACUCAAUUUUCAUAUGAUUUCAGAAGAAGAUAUAAUACAACCCAAAUACGGCAAAUUCCAGAUAACUCAGAUUCAACAACUGCUUAACACAUACGAACUCACAUUUAUAAUUUCUUAUGUCCCACAUAACUACGACUAUGUCUAUAUUCAACACUAACAAAUAAUCAUGACGGAUACCCUUCUUAUACAUAUAUGCAUUUCUUUUCUAGAAAUCUCUUAAGACUUACUCAAUUAUAUCACAUAUCUUAUUCAACCCUUAACUUUAGACAUAUCAUAACCCUAUCAUAUCAAUAUCUAUCACAAAAAAAAUCAGGAUUUAUCCAAAACUUACCAUAAAGGUAGAUAAUCAUAUUAUAUCAGACAAACUUAACUAAAUGUGCCACAAAGGCCAAACAAAAUAUGCCUUAAAGGCUUCAUACAAAAUCACGUGUUUACUAUCCCGACGGACUAUCACAAAAGGUGUCAUGGGUUUCUCCCACAUGGACUUAUACAUAAUUUCAUGUAUUGUGAUCUGCCAUUUUGAAUCAUACGUUAUCGAAGGAUACUCCAUAAGCAUACAUACAGACAUAUCUUGCCAUGUGUCUCAGCCACAUGGCUUAAACACACAUUCAUGUACUGUGAUAUGUCAAUCCAGUCUUACUCUUAUUAGAGCCUACACCAUGAGUGUUUUCAAAUCAUAUUAAGAUGUUGUAGGUCUCAACCUCAUAGUCUUACACUUGUUUUCAUAUCGUGACCUGCCAGUCUAGUUAGCAAUAUAAUUGCCUACCAGAGGCUUCAUAGAGGAACAUUUGCUUAGAUUCACUUACCUAGAUGAUCUGUAACACCCCUUACCCGAGACCGUUGUCAGAGUCGAGCACGAGGUAUUACUUAUCUUAUCUUACUAACUCGAAGCAUAAAAACUUGUUUUAAAAAUUAAUUUCACUAUUUAUAGCAAUUUGUCCAAUCGCGCAGCAGUUACUAAAUUAAUUAUAACUCGAGAUACGGAACUUGAAAUUUAACUCCGUAAAUUUUCCCUGAAACUAGACUCAUAUAUCUUCCUACCAUAAAAAUUUUAGGAUUUUUAGUUUAUCAAAUUAGUACAGUUUAUUAGUUAAAUUCUCCCCUGUUUCACAAAUCGACUGCCCUGACCUCUUAUCACUAAAAAUAAAAUGUAUCAUUGUGGGAUUUUCGUAUAGUGCUACCGCUUGCUUCUACAGAAAAUAGACUCAAUAAGGAAUCUAUACAUAUAAACUACAACUCAUAAAUAUUUUUUUAAAAUUUUUAAUGAUUUUAUAAACUCAAAACAGGGGUCACCAAAAACUGUUCUAACCCUGUCUCACCAAAAUUCACAUAUCUUAAAAUAUAAAUUCCUUUUGCUACACCGUUAUUUUUAUGUGAAAAUAGACUCAACAAGAUUUAUGUCAUUCAAUAUUUAAUUCAUUUUAUACUAUCCUAGGUGAUUUUUCAAAGUCACGUCACUGUUGCUGCCUGAAUUCUGUUUCUUUGCAAAAUUUUACCCUUUUAUGAUUUCCAUGCAUAGUUUAUCACUUAGACUCUUAUAACAACAAACACUUCCAUACUUAACCAUUUUAGCAACCAUUCAUCAUCAAAUACUUACACAUCAUUCUUUAGCAAGAUCAUAAAUACAAACAUUUAAAAUAACUAAAUCCCUUUACAUUCCAUACUCAACAUGGUUCAACAUAAAAAUACCGAGUUGCUGUGGUUGAUAGUGUGGACGAUCUCCGACUUCUUUAGGAUCCUUGAAGUAACCUUGCAAUACUAUAAGAGAAAGAGAAAUAAAAGACGUAAGCAUAAAGCUUAGUAAGUUUACUAGCAAAUAAAUAACAAUAUUUAACUAGAUAAUUAAACUCAAGUGUCUAUAUCUCUAGUUUACUAUUUAGUUAAUCUCAUUCUAGUUCUCUUGCUUGUUUACUUAGUAUACUUGUGUGCAUAACUUACUCCUCUCUUGCUGUAUAGUUGAAUAUCAAUUGAUAAUAUAAUAAGUUAUUAACUCUUAUAACUUACCUGAACUUGCCAUUUAUGUUUUUAACUGAACUUUCCUGAACAUGAUUCGUUAUUUAGCCCGUUGAGCUACAUUGGAACAAUAAGGAUACUCGGGUCUCUUCUGAUAAUAACAUGCCAAAGCCAUGUCCCAGACAUGGUCUUACAUGGGAUGUACUCAUGUCGGUGCCCAUUCCAUAUCCCAGACAUGGUCUUACGGGGGACCUCUCAUCUCGGUGCCAAUGCCAUGUCCCAGACAUGGUCUUACAUGGGACCUCUCAUCUCGGUGCCAACGCCAUGUCCCAGACAUGGUCUUACAUGGGACCUCUCAUCUCGGUGCCAACGCCAUGUCCCAGACAUGGUCUUACAUGGGACCUCUUUACCCAAAUGUCAUGACAUUCGUAUCCAGUACCAUCCUUACUAUUCAUGACAACCGAUAUAUAUAUAUACAUACUCACUAUUCACAAGGACUCGAACGAUUAUAUACUCAUCAACCACCUUAAAACAAUGUUCAUAAACUUAUCCAUUUCAUAUAAACAAAAGCAUAUAUAUUUAUAACCAAUGCAUAGAAUCACUUAAUUUAAACAGAUUCACUGGCACUUCACCUGAUAGGCUUAUAGUUUAAUUCAGUUCACCGGCACUUAGCCUACUAGGCUUGUAGCCUGAUUCAGUUCACCGGCACUUAGCCUGCUAGACGUAUAGUCCGAUUCAAUUCACCGGCAUUUAGCCUGCUAGACGUAUAGUCUGAUUCAAUUUACCGGCACUUAGCCUGCUAGACGUAUAGUCUGAAUAAUUUUACUGGUAAUAAAUCCGAUAGUAAUUUCUCCGUUGAAAUUGAAUUAUAUUCAAUUCUGCGUAACAAACAUGCACUUAAAACAUACUUGCAUAAUUCACAACAAUAAUUUCAGUCCAAAGAGCUGUAAUUCAUAUUCGAACUAUAUAUAUAUAAAUCCAUACAUAAAAAUUCAACUCAAAAUUUAUAACCUAUAUCUUUGAACCACAUAGGUACAUGAAAUUCAAACACCAAAAUCCAGCUCAAUAACUUCAUGAUUCAACCUAACAAAUUUAUGUAUAUAACUUUUUAUCUAAUUUCAAUACAAUAACUUAUACAUGUACGUAUAUACAUAUUCGAAUCUAACAUAUACAUAUAUAAUUUCAUACUUAAAUAUAUUCAAGACUUAUUCAUGAGUAUACAUAUAUAUUACAACUCACAUGUACAUAUAUAUACACAUUCAUACCUUUAACCAAGUCCAAGGCUUUAUACAUGUAUAUGCUUAUAUAUAUAUAUUCGGACCUUAUGUUUACAUAUAUAUAUUAUAUAAAUACCUUUGAUUAAAAACAAGUAUUUAUACAUAUAUAUAUUUUCGAACAUGAUACAUAUAUAUUUAUAUCAUUCAUACUUAAACAAAAUUCAAUCCAUAUACUUUCAAUUUCAGCUCACCAAAUUACUAUAGAUAUACAUGCAUAUAUACUGAUUUAAUAACCUCAAAUUGCUAAUAGACUUACCUCGGAUAUCAGCGGACACGAUCGAGUAUUCGAUUACUUUCGUUUUUCCCCGAUCCAAAUUCGUUUUCUUCGUUUUUUAUCUUAAUUAGACCUAGAGAUAGCCGAACCUUGUUGUUCUCUUUUCUUUUCUUUUCUUUUUCUUUUCUAUAUUCGGCCAAGAUGAAGAACAUGGCAUUUAAAAUUUGUUAUAUUAAACAUAUAUUAGCCUUAUUUUUAAUUUACUAUAUUAACCUUUACAUAUAUAUAACAUAUAUAAUAAGGUUACAUUAGUCCUUUGCCACCCACUAACUUACAUAGUGGACUAAUUGCAUAGUAAAACCUCUAAAUUAUAAAGACAACAAGAAUUAGGUCCUUUUAUAAUUAACCCCUAAAUUUUCAUUUUACGCGAUUAAGCCCUUUUAUUAAAUCGGACACUUAAACGACGAAAUUAAAACACGAAAAUUUCACACAAUCAAAUGCAUACAAAACAAUAUUAAUAAUAUUUUUCUAAUUCAAAUUUGUGGUCCCGAAACCAGUAUUCUGAUUAGGGUCAAAAACCGGGUUGUUACAACUCUCCCCCCUUAGGGAUUUUCGUCCCCGAAAAUCUUACCGGUGAAUAGGUUUGGAUAACGCUCUUUCAUUGUAUCUUCUAACUCCCAAGUUGCUUCUUCAACCCCAUGUUUAUGCCACAACACUUUAACUAACGGAAUUUUCUUAUUUCGUAAUUCUUUGAUCUCACGAGCCAGAAUGCUAAUCGGUUCUUCCUCAUAUGUCAUAUCAGAGUUAAUUUCAAUCUCCGUCGGACUAAUCACAUGUGAAGGAUCAGAUCGGUAUCUACGAAGCAUCGAAACAUGGAAUACGUUAUGAAUCUUUUCUAACUCAGGCAGUAACAUCAAUCUAUAAGCAACCAAUCCAACUCGCUCUAUAAUCUCAUACGGUCCAAUGAAUCUCGGACACAAUUUGCCUUUACGACCAAAUCUGAGUAUUUUCUUCCACGGUGAGACUUUUAAAAACACUUUAUCCCCGAUCUGAAAUUCUAUAUCCUUUCUUUUCAAAUUCGCAUAAGAUUUCUGACGAUCCGAUGCUGAUUUCAGACUGUCCCGAAUCACUUUCACUUUCUGUUCGGUCUCUUUAAUCAAAUCAACCCCGUGUAUCUUAUUUUCACUGAGCUCGGUCCAAUACAGUGGUGUACGACAUUUACAACCGUACAAAGCCUCAUAAGGUGCCAUUUUGAUACUAGAUUGAAAGCUAUUAUUAUAAGCAAAUUCAAUCAAAGGUAAGUAUCGUUCCCACGUACCUUCAAACUCGAGAAUGCAACAUCUCAACAUAUCCUCAAGUAUCUGAAUGAUUCAUUCAGAUUGACCAUCUGUCUGCGGAUCGAAAGCUGUGCUAAAAUGUAGUUUCGUACCUAAAGCAUCUUGUAGUUUCUUCCAAAAUCGCGAUGUGAAUCUCAGAUCUCUGUCUGAAACAAUAGAAAUAGGUACACCAUGCAACCUCACAAUUUGUGAAAUAUACAAUUCCGCAAGUUUAUCGAGCGAAAAAUCUGUACGAAUCGAAAUAAAAUGUGUCGAUUUUGUCAACCUAUCAACAAUAACCCAGAUUGCAUCUAUCUUGCUCGGUGUCAACGGUAAAUCGGAUACAAAAUCCAUCGUGACUCGAUCCCAUUUCCAUUGAGGUAUCAUGAUCGGCUGAAGCAACCCAGAUGGUACCUGAUGCUUGGCUUUAACUUGCUGACAAAUUAAACAUUUCGAAACAAAGUCAGAAAUGUCUCGUUUCAUACCUUGCCACCAAUAGUGCUGUUUCAGAUCGUUAUACAUUUUCGUGCUACCCGGAUGAACAGAAAAUCGACUACUAUGAGCUUCCUUCAAAAUCAUCUAAAUUAACUCUGAUUUUUUCGGAACACAUAAUCGGUUUCUAAAUCUCAAACAAUCCUCAGCAUCAACUAAAAACUCCGAAUCAAUAUUUAAGUCACAUUGAGCUCGUUUUGCAGUUAAAUCAUUAUCGACCUUUUGAGCUUCACAAAUCUGUUGUACAAAUAACGGUUUUGCUUUCAACUCAGCUACUAUCGCACCAUCAUCAGACAUAACCAUAUGUGCGUUCAUUGCACGCAAAGCAAACAGUGAUUUUCGACUUAGGGCAUCAGCAACAACAUUAGCCUUUCCCGGAUGAUAGUCAAUCACAAGCUCGUAUUCUUUCAGCAAUUCUAACCAUCGACGCUGUCUCAAAUUCAGAUAUUUCUGAGUCAUCAAAUAUUUCAGGCUUUUGGGAUCGGAAUAAACAUGACAUCUUUCACCAAACAGAUAGUGACGCCAUAUUUUUAACGCAAAUACAAUAGCGGCCAAUUCCAGAUCAUGUGUCGGAUAGUUUUUUUCAUGCGGCUUUAACUGUCUCAAGGCAUAGGCUACAACUUUGCCUUCCUACAUCAAAACACAACCCAAACCAUUUAAAGAUGCAUCACUAUAGAUAACAAACUCUUUACCCGAUUCGGGUUGAACUAAGACUGGAGCUUCGGUCAAAAGAACUUUCAACUGAUCAAAGUUUUUCUGACACUUUUCUGACCACUCGAACUUAACGUCUUUUUGUAGUAGCUUUGUCAUCGGGGUCGCAAUCAUAGAAAACCCUUUCACGAACCGUCUAUAAUAACCAGCGAGCCCCAGAAAGCUUCGAACAUCAGAGACAUUUCUCGGAGGUUUCCAAUCAAGUAUAGCUGAAAUUUUACCUGGAUCAACUCGAAUACCCGAUGCUGACACAACAUGGCCCAGAAAACUAACUUCACGUAACCAGAACUCGCAUUUACUGAACUUUGCAUACAACUGUUUAUCUCGCAAAGUUUGUAACACAAGUCUCAGAUGUUCAGUAUGCUCGGUUUCAUCACGAGAGUAGAUCAAAAUAUCAUCUAUAAAUACUACCACAAAUCGAUCCAGAUACUGUCUAAAAAUCUGAUUCAUCAAAUCCAUGAAAACAGCAGGUGCAUUAGUAAGUCCAAAAGGCAUAACCAAGAACUCAUAAUGUCCGUACCUCGUUCGGAAAGCUGUCUUUGGCACAUCAGAGUCUUUAACUCGCAACUGAUAGUAGCCUGAUCUCAGAUCUAUCUUCGAAAACACAGUAGCCCCUUUCAACUGAUCGAACAAAUCAUCAAUCCGUGGUAACGGAUACUUAUUCUUUAUAGUCACCUUAUUGAGUUGCCGGUAAUCAAUGCACAUUCUCAUUGUUCUGUCUUUCUUUUUCACAAAUAGAACUGGUGCACCCCAAGGAGAGAAACUCGGUCGUGUAAAACCUUUAUCAGUCAACUCUUGCAACUGUACUUUCAAUUCUUUUAAUUCGGUCGGUACCAUACGGUACGGAGCUAUCGAAAUUGGAGUUGUCCCUGGUACUAACUCAAUACCAAACUCUACCUCUCGAAUAGGUGGCAAACCCGGUAAUUCUUCGGGAAACACGUCUGAAUACUUACACACUACUGGCACAGAUUCAAUCUUCUUUUCGGUCACUUUACUAUCAAGAAAAAAUGCAAGGUAAUCUUCACAACCUUUUCUCACAUACUUCUGAGCCGACAUCGAGGAUAUUAUUGCUGGUAAACCAUUCAGAUCAUUAGAUUCAAUCCGAAUAAUCUCAUCAUUCUGACACCGUAGAUCAAUAGUUUUCCGUUUGCAGUUUACUAUAGCAUUAUGCAGAGUUAACCAAUCCAUACCCAGAAUUAUAUCAAACUCGUCAAAUGGUAGCAACAUCAAAUCAGCCAGAAAACAUAAAUCUCGAAUCAUCAACGGACAAUUCUUGCACACUUUGUCAACCAAAACACACCGGCCCAAGAGGUUCAAUACUUUAAUUACAAACUCAGUAGACUCAACAGGCAAAGUCUUACUGAAUACUAAAGUCUCACACACAUAAGAAUGAGUCGAACCAAGAUCAAUCAAUGCAAUAACAUUAGUAUCAUAAAGAGUGAAAGUACCAGUAAUAACAUCUGGAGAAGAAGCCUCCUCCCGAGCACGGAUGGCAUAUGCUCUGGCAAGUGCACGAGCCUCAGAUCGAACUGCCAUGUCCUUUGUUCCUCUCUGACUGCCACUUACAUUACUCAAUUGCCUCGGCGGUCUACCUCGUACAGGUACUUUACUCGGUCUGGUAUUCUACACAGUGUUUUGCUCAGCUACCAUCGGACACUCUCGAAUGAAAUGAUCCUUUGAACCGCACUUAAAGCAAGACCGAUCAUGUAAUCUGCAAUCUCCAGGAUGCCAUUUCCCACAAUGCUUGUACUCUGAUCUAUUUUGUCGAACACUACCAACGCUAGCAACUGAAGUAGCUCGUGAACUCACAGGGGGUCGAUCUCGAUCAUACUUAGGAAACCCUGCAGUAGCUUUAGAUCGGCUAUGAUCCUCUCUGGAUUUCAUUGAGGUCGACUGGAAUGAUUUACUGAAUGAUCUUUUACGAGAAUCUCGAGCUUCAUAGCCAGCUUUCCUCUUCUCUUUACUGAGCUCCUUAACUUUACAAGGUCGUUCAACAAGUACUACGAACUCUUUUAUCUCAAGUAUACCAAAUAACAGUUUAAUAUCUUCAUCCAGCCCAUCUUCAAAUCUUUUACACAUGAUAGCUUCAGUCGAAAUACAUUCUCGAGCAUAUCUACUGAGUCUCACAAAUUUCCGCUCAUAUUCUAUCACUGUCAUACGACCCUGUUUCAAUUCAAGAAAUUCCUUAUGCUUCUGAUCAAUGAAUCUUUGGCUGAUGUAUUUCUUACAGAACUCAAUCUGAAAGAAUUCCCAGGUCACUCGCUCUUUCGGAACCACCGAUACUAGUGUAUUCCACCAGUGAUAUGCAGUGUCCCGUAGCAAAGAUAUGGCACAUUUCAAGUACUCAUCAGGGGUGCAAGAUAACUCAUCAAACACUCGAAUAGUAUUAUCAAGCCAGAAUUCAGCUUGCUCAGCAUCAUCAUCAUCAGUAGCUCUGAACUCUUCGACCCCGUGUUUUCAAAUUUAGUCAACAGGAGGCUUAAGUAAUCUCAUCGGAUCACUUACUUGAGGUAUAAUAGGAAUCGAAGGUGGAUUAGUCGGGGGUGGAGUUUGUUGUGCAACCGGAUUAGUUCGGACAUAUUGAGUAAACCAGUCAUUCAUCAUUUGGUAGAAGGCUUGUUUAGCCUCUCCCUCCUGGUUACUCGAGGUCGGUCGAGAAUCUACCAGCUCUGUCCCUUGUGUGGGAGCAGGCGCUAUACUCUCAACAUCAUCGACUACGGCUGGAUCGGGAUCCAUUACUAUACGAAAACACAUUUUUAGACAUCAGCAGUCAUCGCACUAUCUUGGUAUAAAAAUAUGGCAUGUAUAGCUAGACUCAUACAUGCUACAUUAGUCCAAGAAUCGAUUAAACCGUAGCUCUGAUACCAAUAAAAUGUAACACCCCUAACCCGUAUCCGUCGCCGAAUUAGGGUUACGAGGCAUUACUGAACAAAUACAACCAUUUUUAAAACCAACUGAUCACAAACAUGAAAAUUAAAUCAUUUUCACAUAGCUAUUUAUAAUUUACAAUCAACAUCUAACCAACAUCGUACUCAAACCUAUACAUGCCAUAAGAUCAAGUUCAAAUAUUUAACAAAAUACCAAAAGGGGUCGAAAGUGUGAUAGACUAUGCUGAUGAUCCCCGAGCUCGUAACGCAUCUCCAAAAUCUAUAAAAACAAAUGGACAAAAACAAUCAAAGUAAGCUUUUAUAGCUUAGUAAGUCUAUAGCAUAUCUAAAAUACAUAUAAAAGAAUCAUAUAAUUCUUAAAAUAAAUUUAUUGAAAUCACAAUUAUCAAUUAUAAUUACUAAUCGAACAUUGCUAUAUUAAGUCAUCUUGUUUAAAUCUAAAAGGAUGUGUAUUUAUCUAAUACACAUGAACGGACAAAUGUAUAUACAUUAUAUGCAUAUAAUCAAUUUACUAACAUAAUCAUUAAUUGCAUAUACGGAUUUCUAUAGUACUUAUUGUUCGCACUUAAUCGGAUCCAUUUAAAUAUAAUUGUUCAAAUACAUAUACCAAAAGCAUAAUAAUUUUAUACUUGAUCAACUAUAAGUGCCGAAUGCACAUAUACACCUAUACCCACCUAUGCCGAAUGCAUACAUAUAUACACAUAUAUAUAUAUCCAACAAUUUCGUGACAACCGAUAUAUAUAUACAUACUCACUAUUCACAAGGACUCGAACGAUUAUAUACUCAUCAACCACCUUAAAACAAUGUUCAUAAACUUAUCCAUUUCAUAUAAACAAAAGCAUAUAUAUUUAUACCCAAUGCAUAGAAUCACUUAAUUUAAACAGAUUCACUAGCACUUCACCUGAUAGGCUUAUAGUUUAAUUCAGUUCACCGGUACUUAGCCUACUAGGCUUGUAGCCUGAUUCAGUUCACCGGCACUUAGCCUGCUAGACGUAUAGUCCGAUUCAAUUCACCGGCAUUUAGCCUGCUAGACGUAUAGUCCGAUUCAAUUUAUCGGCACUUAGCCUGCUAGAUGUAUAGUCUGAAUAAUUUUACUGGUAAUAAAUCCGAUAGUCAUUUCUCCGUUGAAAUUGAAUUAUAUUCAAUUCUGCGUAACAAACAUGCACUUAAAACAUACUUGCAUAAUUCACAACAAUAAUUUCAGUCCAAAGAGCUGUAAUUCAUAUUCGAACUAUAUAUAUAAAUCCAUACAUAAAAAUUCAGCUCAAAAUUUAUAACCUAUAUCUUUGAACCACAUAGGUACAUGAAAUUCAAACAACAAAAUCCAGCUCAAUAACUUCAUGAUUCAACCUAACAAAUUUAUGUAUAUAACUUUUUAUCUAAUUUCAAUACAAUAACUUAUACAUGUACGUAUAUACAUAUUCGAAUCUAACAUAUACAUAUAUAAUUUCAUACUUAAAUAUAUUCAAGACUUAUUCAUGAGUAUACAUAUAUAUUACAACUCACAUGUACAUAUAUAUACACAUUCAUACCUUUAACCAAGUCCAAGGCUUUAUACAUGUAUAUGCUUAUAUAUAUAUAUAUUCGGACCUUAUGUUUACAUAUAUAUUAUAUAUAAAUACCUUUGAUUAAAAACAAGUAUUUAUACAUAUAUAUAUUUUUGAACAUGAUACAUAUAUAUAUUUAUAUCAUUCAUACUUAAACAAAAUUCAAUCCAUAUACUUUCAAUUUCAGCUCACCAAAUUACUAUAGAUAUACAUGCAUAUAUACUGAUUUAAUAACCUCAAAUUGCUAAUAGACUUACCUCGGAUAUCAGCGGACACGAUCGACUAUUCGAUUACUUUCGUUUUUCCCCGAUCCAAAUUCGUUUUCUUCGUUUUUUUAUCUUAAUUAGACCUAGAGAUAGCCGAACCUUGUUGUUCUCUUUUCUUUUCUUUUCUUUUUCUUUUCUAUAUUCGGCCAAGAUGAAGAACAUGGCAUUUAAAAUUUGUUAUAUUAAACAUAUAUUAGCCUUAUUUUUAAUUUACUAUAUUAACCUUUACAUAUAUAUAUAACAUAUAUAAUAAGGUUACAUUAGUCCUUUGCCACCCACUAACUUACAUAGUGGACUAAUUGCAUAGUAAAACCUCUAAAUUAUAAAGACAACAACAAUUAGGUGCUUUUAUAAUUAACCCCUAAAUUUUCAUUUUACGCGAUUAAGCCCUUUUAUUAAAUCGGACACUUAAACGACGAAAUUAAAACACGAAAAUUUCACACAAUCAAAUGCAUACAAAAUAAUAUUAAUAAUAUUUUUCUAAUUCAAAUUUGUGGUCCCGAAACCAGUAUUCUGAUUAGGGUCAAAAACCGGGUUGUUACAACUCUCCCCCCUUAGAGAUUUUCGUCCCCGAAAAUCUUACCGGUGAAUAGGUUUGGAUAACGCUCUUUCAUUGUAUCUUCUGACUCCCAAGUUGCUUCUUCAACCCCAUGUUUAUGCCACAACACUUUAACUAACGGAAUUUUCUUAUUUCGUAAUUCUUUGAUCUCACGAGCAAGAAUGCUAAUCGGUUCUUCCUCAUAUGUCAUAUCAGAGUUAAUUUCAAUCUCCGUCGGACUAAUCACAUGUGAAGGAUCAGAUCGGUAUCUACGGAGCAUCGAAACAUGGAAUACGUUAUGAAUCUUUUCUAACUCAGGCAGUAACAUCAAUCUAUAAGCAACCAAUCCAACUCGCUCUAUAAUCUCAUACGGUCCAAUUAAUCUCGGACACAAUUUGCCUUUACGACCAAAUCUGAGUAUUUUCUUCCACGGUGAGACUUUUAACUUGCUCGGUGUCAACGGUAAAUCGGAUACAAAAUCCAUCGUGACUCGAUCCCAUUUCCAUUGAGGUAUCAUGAUCGGCUGAAGCAAUCCAGAUGGUACCUGAUGCUCGGCUUUAACUUGCUGACAAAUUAAACAUUUCGAAACAAAGUCAGAAAUGUCUCGUUUCAUACCUUGCCACCAAUAGUGCUGUUUUAGAUCGUUAUACAUUUUCGUGCUACCCGGAUGAACAGAAAAUCGAAUACUAUGAGCUUCCUUCAAAAUCAUCUGAAUUAACUCUGAAUUUUUCGGAACACAUAAUCGGUUUCUAAAUCUCAAACAAUCCUCAGCAUCAACUAAAAACUCCGAAUCAAUAUUUAAGUCACAUUGAGCUCGUUUUGCAGUUAAAUCAUUAUCAACCUUUUGAGCUUCACAAAUCUGUUGUACAAAUAACAGUUUUGCUUUCAACUCAGCUACUAUCGCACCAUCAUCAGACAUAACCAUAUGUGCGUUCAUUGCACGCAAAGCAAACAGUGAUUUUCGACUUAGGGCAUCAGCAACAACAUUAGCCUUUCCCGGAUGAUAGUCAAUCACAAGCUCGUAAUCUUUCAGCAAUUCUAACCAUCGACGCUGUCUCAAAUUCAGAUAUUUCUGAGUCAUCAAAUAUUUCAGGCUUUUGGGAUCGGAAUAAACAUGACAUCUUUCGCCAAACAGAUAGUGACGCCAUAUUUUUAACGCAAAUACAAUAGCGGCCAAUUCCAGAUCAUGCGUCGGAUAGUUUUUUUCAUGCGGCUUUAACUGUCUCAAGGCAUAGGCUACAACUUUGCCUUCCUACAUCAAAACACAACCCAAACCAUUUAAAGAUGCAUCACUAUAGAUAACAAACUCUUUACCCGAUUCGGGUUGAACUAGGACUGGAGCUUCGGUCAAAAGAACUUUCAACUGAUCAAAGUUUUUCUGACACUUUUCUGACCACUCGAACUUAACGUCUUUUUGUAGUAGCUUUGUCAUCGGGGUCGCAAUCAUAGAAAACCCUUUCACGAACCGUCUAUAAUAACCAGCGAGCCCCAGAAAGCUUCGAACAUCAGAGACAUUUCUCGGAGGUUUCCAAUCAAGUAUAGCUGAAAUUUUACUUGGAUCAACCUGAAUACCCGAUGCUGACACAACAUGGCCCAGAAAACUAACUUCACGUAACCAGAACUCGAAUUUACUGAACUUUGCAUACAACUGUUUAUCUCGCAAAGUUUGUAACACAAGUCUCAGAUGUUCAGUAUGCUCGGUUUCAUCACGAGAGUAGAUCAAAAUAUCAUCUAUAAAUACUACCACAAACAGAUCCAGAUACUGUCUAAAAAUCUGAUUCAUCAAAUCCAUGAAAACAGCAGGUGCAUUAGUAAGUCCAAAAGGCAUAACCAAGAACUCAUAAUGUCCGUACCUCGUUCGGAAAGCAGUCUUUGGCACAUCAGAGUCUUUAACUCGCAACUGAUAGUAGCCUGAUCUCAGAUCUAUCUUCGAAAACACAGUAGCCCCUUUCAACUGAUCGAACAAAUCAUCAAUCCGUGGUAACGGAUACUUAUUCUUUAUAGUCACCUUAUUGAGUUGCCGGUAAUCAAUGCACAUUCUCAUUGUUCCGUCUUUCUUUUUCACAAAUAGAACUGGUGCACCCCAAGGAGAGAAACUCGGUCGUGCAAAACCUUUAUCAGUCAACUCUUGCAACUGUACUUUCAAUUCUUUUAAUUCAGUCGGUGCCAUACGGUACGGAGCUAUCGAAAUUGGAGUUGUCCCUGGUACUAACUCAAUACCAAACUCUACCUCUCGAAUAGGUGGCAAACCCGGUAAUUCUUCGGGAAACACGUCUGAAUACUUACACACUACUGGCACAGAUUCAAUCUUCUUUUCGAUCACUUUACUAUCAAGAAAAAAUGCAAGGUAAUCUUCACAACCUUUUCUCACAUACUUUUUUGCCGACAUCGAGGAUAUUAUUGCUGGUAAACCAUUCAGAUCAUUAGAUUCAAUCCGAAUAAUCUCAUCAUUCUGACACCGUAGAUCAAUAGUUUUCCGUUUGCAGUUUACUAUAGCAUCAUGCAGAGUUAACCAAUCCAUACCCAGAAUUAUAUCAAACUCGUCAAAUGGUAGCAACAUCAAAUCAGCCAGAAAACAUAAAUCUCGAAUCAUCAACGGACAAUUCUUGCAUAUUUUGUCAACCAAAACACACCGGCCCAGGGGGUUCAAUACUUUAAUUACAAACUCAGUAGACUCAACAGGCAAAGUCUUACUGAAUACUAAAGUCUCACACACAUAAGAAUGAGUCGAACCAAGAUCAAUCAAUGCAAUAACAUUAGUAUCAUAAAGAGGGAAAGUACCAGUAAUAACAUCUGGAGAAGAAGCCUCCUCUUGAGCACGGAUGGCAUAUGCUCUGGCAAGUGCACGAGCCUCAGAUCGAACUGCCAUGUCCUUUGUUCCUCUCUGACUGCCACUUACAUUACUCAAUUGCCUCGGUGGUCUACCUCGUACUGGCACUUUACUCGGUCUGGUAUUCUGCACAGUGUUUUGCUCAGCUACCAUCGGACACUCUCGAAUGAAAUGAUCCUUUGAACCGCACUUAAAGCAAGACCGAUCAUGUAAUCUGCAAUCUCCAGGAUGCCAUUUCCCACAAUACUUGUACUCUGAUCUAUUUUGUCGAACACUACCAACGCUAGCAACUGAAGUAGCUCGUGAACUCACAGGGGGUCGAUCUCGAUCAUACUUAGGAAACCCUGCAGUAGCUUUAGAUCGGCUAUGAUCCUCUCUGGAUUUCAUUGAGGUCGACUGGAAUGAUUUACUGAAUAAUCUUUUACGAGAAUCUCGAGCUUCAUAGCCAGCUUUCCUCUUCUCUUUCCCGAGCUCCUCAACUUUACAAGGUCGUUCAACAAGUACUACGAACUCUUUUAUCUCAAGUAUACCAAAUAACAGUUUAAUAUCUUCAUCCAGCCCAUCUUCAAAUCUUUUACACAUGAUAGCUUCAGUCGAAAUACAUUCUCGAGCAUAUCUACUGAGUCUCACAAAUUUCCGCUCAUAUUCUAUCACUGUCAUACGACCCUGUUUCAAUUUAAGAAAUUACUUACGCUUCUGAUCAAUGAAUCUUUGGCUGAUGUAUUUCUUACAGAACUCAAUCUGAAAGAAUUCCCAGGUCACUCGCUCUUUCGGAACCACCGAUACUAGUGUAUUCCACCAGUGAUAUGCAGUGUCCCGUGGCAAAGAUAUGGCACAUUUCAAGUACUCAUCAGGGGUGCAAGAUAACUCAUCAAACACUCGAAUAGUAUUAUCAAGCCAGAAUUCAUCUCGCUCAGCAUCAUCAUCAUCAGUAGCUCUGAACUCUUCGACCCCGUGUUUUUGAAUUUUGUCAAUAGGAGGCUUAAGUAAUCUCAUCGGAUCACUUACUUGAGGUAUAACAGGAAUCGAAGGUGGAUUAGUCGGGGGUGGAGUUUGUUGUGCAACCGGAUUAGUUCGGACAUAUUGAGUAAACCAGUCAUUCAUCAUUUGGUAGAAGGCUUGUUUAGCCUCUCCCUCCUGGUUACUCGAGGUCGGUCGAGAAUCUACCGGCUCUGUCCCUUGUGUGGGAGCAGGCGCUAUACCCUCAACAUCAUCGACUACGGCUCGAUCGGGAUCCAUUACUAUACGAAAACACAUUUUUAGACAUCAGCAGUCAUCACACUAUCUUGGUAUAAAAAUAUGGCAUGUAUAGCUAGACUCAUACAUGCUACAUUAGUCCAAGAAUCGAUUAAACCGUAGCUCUGAUACCAAUAAAAUGUAACACCCCUAACCCGUAUCCGUCGCCGAAUUAGGGUUACGAGGCAUUACUGAACAAAUACAACCAUUUUUAAAACCAACUGAUCACAAACAUGAAAAUUAAAUCAUUUUCACAUAGCUAUUUAUAAUUUACAAUCAACAUCUAACCAACAUCGUACUCAAACCUAUACAUGCCAUAAGAUCAAGUUCAAAUAUUUAACAAAAUACCAAAAGGGGUCAAAAGUGUGAUAGACUAUGCUGAUGAUCCCCGAGCUCGUAACGCGUCUCCAAAAUCUAUAAAAACAAAUGGACAAAAACAAUCAAAGUAAGCUUUUAUAGCUUAGUAAGUCUAUAGCAUAUCUAAAAUACAUAUAAAAGAAUCAUAUAAUUCUUAAAAUAAAUUUAUUGAAAUCACAAUUAUCAAUUAUAAUUACUAAUCGAACAUUGCUAUAUUAAGUCAUCUUGUUUAAAUCUAAAAGGAUGUGUAUUUAUCUAAUACACAUGAACGGACAAAUGUAUAUACAUUAUAUGCAUAUAAUCAAUUUACUAACAUAAUCAUUAAUUGCAUAUACGGAUUUCUAUAGUACUUAUUGUUCGCACUUCAUCGGAUCCAUUUAAAUAUAAUUGUUCAAAUACAUAUACCAAAAGCAUAAUAAUUUUAUACUUGAUCAACUAUAAGUGCCGAAUGCACAUAUACACCUAUACCCACCUAUGCCGAAUGCAUACAUAUAUACACAUAUAUAUAUAUCCAACAAUUUCAUGACAACCGAUAUAUAUAUACAUACUCACUAUUCACAAGGACUCGAACGAUUAUAUACUCAUCAACCACCUUAAAACAAUGUUCAUAAACUUAUCCAUUUCAUAUAAACAAAAGCAUAUAUAUUUAUACCCAAUGCAUAGAAUCACUUAAUUUAAACAGAUUCACUGGCACUUCACCUGAUAGGCUUAUAGUUUAAUUCAGUUCACCGGCACUUAGCCUACUAGGCUUGUAGCCUGAUUCAGUUCACCGGCACUUAGCCUGCUAGACGUAUAGUCCGAUUCAAUUCACCGGCAUUUAGCCUGCUAGACGUAUAGUCCGAUUCAAUUUACCGGCACUUAGCCUGCUAGAUGUAUAGUCUGAAUAAUUUUACUGGUAAUAAAUCCGAUAGUCAUUUCUCCGUUGAAAUUGAAUUAUAUUCAAUUCUGCGUAACAAACAUGCACUUAAAACAUACUUGCAUAAUUCACAACAAUAAUUUCAGUCCAAAGAGCUGUAAUUCAUAUUCGAACUAUAUAUAUAUAAAUCCAUACAUAAAAAUUCAGCUCAAAAUUUAUAACCUAUAUCUUUGAACCACAUAGGUACAUGAAAUUCAAACAACAAAAUCCAGCUCAAUAACUUCAUGAUUCAACCUAACAAAUUUAUGUAUAUAACUUUUUAUCUAAUUUCAAUACAAUAACUUAUACAUGUACGUAUAUACAUAUUUGAAUCUAACAUAUACAUAUAUAAUUUCAUACUUAAAUAUAUUCAAGACUUAUUCAUGAGUAUACAUAUAUAUUACAACUCACAUGUACAUAUAUAUACACAUUCAUACCUUUAACCAAGUCCAAGGCUUUAUACAUGUAUAUGCUUAUAUAUAUAUAUAUUCGGACCUUAUGUUUACAUAUAUAUUAUAUAUAAAUACCUUUGAUUAAAAACAAGUAUUUAUACAUAUAUAUAUUUUCGAACAUGAUACAUACAUAUAUUUAUAUCAUUCAUACUUAAACAAAAUUCAAUCCAUAUACUUUCAAUUUCAGCUCACCAAAUUACUAUAGAUAUACAUGCAUAUAUACUGAUUUAAUAACCUCAAAUUGCUAAUAGACUUACCUCGGAUAUCAGCGGACACGAUCGACUAUUCGAUUACUUUCGUUUUUCCCCGAUCCAAAUUCGUUUUCUUCGUUUUUUUAUCUUAAUUAGACCUAGAGAUAGCCGAACCUUGUUGUUCUCUUUUCUUUUCUUUUCUUUUUCUUUUCUAUAUUCGGCCAAGAUGAAGAACAUGGCAUUUAAAAUUUGUUAUAUUAAACAUAUAUUAGCCUUAUUUUUAAUUUACUAUAUUAACCUUUACAUAUAUAUAACAUAUAUAAUAAGGUUACAUUAGUCCUUUGCCACCCACUAACUUACAUAGUGGACUAAUUGCAUAGUAAAACCUCUAAAUUAUAAAGACAACAACAAUUAGGUGCUUUUAUAAUUAACCCCUAAAUUUUCAUUUUACGCGAUUAAGCCCUUUUAUUAAAUCGGACACUUAAACAACGAAAUUAAAACACGAAAAUUUCACACAAUCAAAUGCAUACAAAAUAAUAUUAAUAAUAUUUUUCUAAUUCAAAUUUGUGGUCCCGAAACCAGUAUUCUGAUUAGGGUCAAAAACUGGGUUGUUACAACUCUCCCCCCUUAGGGAUUUUCGUCCCCGAAAAUCUUACCGGUGAAUAGGUUUGGAUAACGCUCUUUCAUUGUAUCUUCUGACUCCCAAGUUGCUUCUUCAACCCCAUGUUUAUGCCACAACACUUUAACUAACGGAAUUUUCUUAUUUCGUAAUUCUUUGAUCUCACGAGCCAGAAUGCUAAUCGGUUCUUCCUCAUAUGUCAUAUCAGAGUUAAUUUCAAUCUCCGUCGGACUAAUCACAUGUGAAGGAUCAGAUCGGUAUCCACAGAGCAUUGAAACAUGGAAUACGUUAUGAAUCUUUUCUAACUCAGGCAGUAACAUCAAUCUAUAACCAACCGAUCCAACUCGCUCUAUAAUCUCAUACGGUCCAAUGAAUCUCGGACUCAAUUUGCCUUUACGACCAAAUCUGAGUAUUUUCUUCCACGGUGAGACUUUUAAAAACACUUUAUCCCCGAUCUGAAAUUCUAUAUCCUUUCUUUUCAAAUCCGCAUAAGAUUUCUGACGAUCCGGUGCUGAUUUCAGACUGUCCCGAAUCACUUUCACUUUCUGUUCGGUCUCUUUAAUCAAAUCAACCCCGUGUAUCUUAUUUUCACUGAGCUCAGUCCAAUACAGUGGUGUACGACAUUUACGACCGUACAAAGCCUCAUAAGGUGCCAUUUUGAUACUAGAUUGAAAGCUAUUAUUAUAAGCAAAUUCAAUCAAAGGUAAGUAUCGUUCCCACGUACCUUCAAACUCGAGAAUGCAACAUCUCAACAUAUCCUCAAGUAUCUGAAUGAUUCGUUCAGAUUGACCAUCUGUCUGCGGAUGGAAAGCUGUGCUAAAAUGUAGUUUCGUACCUAAAGCUGUGCUAAAAUGCACACAAAAUAAACACACAAAAUAAUAUUAAUAAUAUUUUUCUAAUUCGGAUUUGUGGUCCCGAAACCACUAUUCCGAUUAGGGUCAAAAACCGGGUUGUUACAAUUCUGCUUCUUCUGCAUCAUCAUCUUUGGUAGCUCGAAAUUCUUCAGCCCCUUACUUCCUAAUCUUAUCAACAGGUGGUCUCUCACUGAUGACUAUACCUGCAGCUAGGGAAACUACAUGAGGAACCUGUGAAUCCUGAAGGGGUGGAGGUCUUACACCCGGAUUCAUACGAACGAACUCGGCAAACCAAUCAUUCAUGGCUUGGAAGAAGGCUUCUCUAGCUCCUCCUCCCUGUCUAACUGAUGCAGGUCUUUCACUAACGUUAACAUCUAGUGGCACCGUCCUUUCUGCGGAAGUAGGCGCAUUACUCUCUACUUCAUCUGCACCAGCUCGUUCAGGAUCCGUAACUAUAAAAUAAAAUAUUUUAAAAUCGUCAAGAGUCGUCACACUAUCAAAAUAUAUAAGUAUGGCAUGUAUAGGUAGACUUUUAUUCAUACUGCAUAUUUCUGAGAACCGAUUAAACCUGCUCUGAUACCAACAAAUGUAACACCCCUUACCCAAGACCAUUUUCGGAGUCGAGCACGAGGCAUUACUUAUCUUAUCUUACUAACUCGAAGCAUAAAAACUUAUUUUAAAAAUUAAUUUCACUAUUUACAGCAAUCUGUCCAAUCGAGCAGCAGUUACUAAAUUAAUAAUAACUCGAGCUACGGAACUUGAAAUUUAACUUCGUAAAUUUUCACUGAAACUAGACUCAUAUAUCUUCCUACCAUAAAGUUUUUAGGAUUUUUUGUUUAGCCAACUAGUACAGUUUAUUAGUCAAAUUCUCCCCUGUUUCACCAAUCGAUUGCCUUGACCUCUUAUCACUAAAAAUAAAAUUUCUCAAUGUGGGAUUUUCGUAUAGUGCUACUGCUUGCUUCUACAAAAAAUAGACUCAAUAAGGAAUCUAUAAAUAUAAACUACAGCUCCUAAAUAUUUUUUUAAAAAUUUUAAUGAUUUUCUAAACUCAAAAUAGGGGUCACCAAAAACUGUUCUAACCCUGUCUCACCAAAAUUCACAUAUCUUAAAAUAUAAAAUUCAUUUUGCUACACCGUUAUUUUUAUCUGAAAAUAGACUCAACAAGAUUUAAAUUCAUAUAUCAUUCACUCUUUAAUUCAUUUUAUACUAUCCUAGGUGAUAUUUCAAAGUCACGUCGUUGUUGCUGCCUGAAUUCUGUUUCUUUGCAAAAUUGUACCAUUUUAUGAUUUCCAUGCAUAGUUUAUCACUUACACUCUUAUAACAACAAACACUUCCAUACUUCACCAUUUUAGCAACCAUUCAUCAUCAACUACUUACAUAUCAUUCUUUAUCAAGAUCAUAAAUACAAACAUUUAAAAUAACUAAAUCCCUAUACAUUCCAUACUCAACAUGGUUCAACAUAAAAAUACCGAGUUGCUGUGGCUGAUAGUGUGGACGAUCUCCGACUUCUUUAGGAUCCUUGAAGUAACCUUGCAAUACUAUAAGAGAAAGAGAAAUAAAAGACGUAAGCAUAAAGCUUAGUAAGUUUACUAGCAAAUAAAUAACAAUAUUUAACUCAGAUAAUUAAACUCAAGUGUCUAUAUCUCUAGUUUACUCUUUAGUUAAUCCCAUUCUAGUUCUCUUGCUUGUUUACUUAGUAUACUUGUGUGCAUAACUUAAUCUUCUCUUGCUGUAUCGUUGAAUAUCAAUUGAUAAUAUAAUAAGUUCUUAACUCUUAUAACUUACCUGAACUUGCCAUUUAUGUUUUUAACUGAACUUUCCUGAACAUGAUUCGUUAUUUAGCCCGUUGAGCUACAUUGGAACAAUAAGGAUACUCGGGUCUCUUCUGAUAAUAACAUGCCAAAGCCAUGUCCCAGACAUGGUCUUACAUGGGAUGUACUCAUGUCGGUGCCCAUUCCAUGUCCCAGACAUGGUCUUACGGGGGACCUCUCAUCUCGGUGCCAAUGUCAUGUCUCAGACAUGGUCUUACAUGGGACCUCUCAUCUCGGUGCCAACACCAUGUCCCAGACAUUGUCUUACAUGGGACCUCUCAUUUCGGUGCCAACGCCAUGUCCCAGACAUGGUCUUACAUGGGACCUCUUUAUCCAAAUGUCAUGACAUUCGUAUCCAGUAUUAUCCUUAUGUAUCAACGGGACUUUUUAAUUUUAAUUCUCUAUCAUUUCAUGCUUGGAUAAUCAUCAAAUAAAUUCAUGAAAUAAAUUCAUAGUUGCUGGAAAAUAGCAGCAUUAAUAAAAAUUAUUGAAAUAUUUCAUUUAUUUACCGUAAACUUACCUUGGUACCGAAUAUAGCCCAAUUCACCAACUUAGUCUUCAACUUUAUUCUUUCCUUUGUCUAACCUCGAGUUUCAUUCUUCUUGAUCUAAAAUAGAAAAUUUAACUUAUUUAAUACUCACAUUCAUCAAAACAGCCCUCGACUCUAACUUUUCAAAAUUAUGAUUUUGCCCCUAAACUUUUACAUAAUUACAUUUUUCCCCAAGGCUCGAAAAUUCAACUUCAUCUCAUAUUCUUAUGUUUUAUGGCAUGCUGAAUAUUUUUCUCUUCUAUGACAAUAUCAAAUUCUCACUCUAACACUUACUUAUGUACAUUAGAGAUUUUUACCGAUUAUGUCAACUUACUCGUUUUUGCUUAAAAUCGGCUAACAAAAGUUGUUUAACAUAAUUUAUAGCUUCAUAUUCUAUCAUAAAACAUCAAAAUAAACACUUUUCACCUAUGGGUAUUUUUCCAAAUAUAAACCCUAGGUUAAAUUAUUGCUAGAAUAAGCUAAAUUAAGUUACCGGGACUCCAAAAACGUAAGGAACAUUAAAAACGGGGCUUGGGAUCACUUACUAUGGAGCUUGGAAGCUUGAAAACCCUAAAUAUGGCUUACCCCCUUGCUGAUUUCGUCCAAAUGAAGAAGAUGAGCAUAAUUUGUCAUCUUUUUCCCUUUUAAUUCAUUUUAAUUACUAGAUUACCAAAUUGCCCCUAACUUAAAAAUUUCCUAUUUCACUUAUCUCAUGUCCAUUUUUGUCUAAAAACUUAACCAAUGGUCUAAUUACCAUAUAAAGACCUCCAAUUUAAAGUUUCAUAACAAUUGGACACCUCUAACAUGUAGAACUCAACUUUUGCACUUUUUGCAAUUUAGUACUUUUGACUAAAUUGAGUGCCCAAACUUCAAAAUUUUCGAAUAAAAUUUUCAUGAAAUCAUUUUGUGAAAUCAUAGACCAUAAAAAUAUAAGAAAAAUAAAAUUUUCCUCAUCGGAUUUGUGAUCCCGAAACCACUGUUCCGAUAAUCUUAAAUUUGGGCCAUUACAUGAUCACCUUUUUACUAGCUCAUACAUCUCCUACAUCAGACCUUACAUGCAUGCUUACCAAACUUUAUUCUUUUUAACAAAACUUUAUACAUAUCAUCGUAGCACAUCUUUCAUCUUUACUAAACUCAUAUUUUUACCAAUUUCUGUAGACAUCAUCAUCAUCAUCCUAUAUAUAUGCUUCUUGUUUGAACAGUUCAUAUCAAAGAGUCAAGAUAGAGACCCACUUGACACUCACCUACUGCAGUUCAAAGCUCUAAACUUAACCAUCCUUCUCAAACCAGCAGUAAAAACUGCUUAUAGAACAUAGAAUCACCAUUAAAAACCCAUUUACAUACAAAUUACUAUCAUCUUAAUCACUUUUCCACUGUUAAUUUAUAAAUAAGUGUUAAGUAGUAAAUAAAUAAAAAAAUUAACUAAGUUUUCAAAAAAAAAGUCACUGUGACGAGAAGAAUGUUAAAAUUAAUUGGUGUUUGUUAACUCAUAUGUUUUUCUAAAAAUGGGUUAAGUUUUCUUCUGAAAUAAACAAAUGUUUUAAAAUGAUUGUUUUAUAAACUCCGAUCGUACUAUCCCAUCUUGGUGGCUGAUGUAAUAUCCCAAAUUCAGGUCUAACAUCUAAGUCGGGUUGGAUAGGUUACAAUAUAUAUAGAAAGAUUGAUAAAUAAUGCAAACUUGAAUACAAGCAAAGAAAGAAAUCAAUCAAUGUGAAUGACUAACAAGUUUAAAAUCAUAUAUUUGCAUUAUAUUUUGUAAAGCACAAGAUUGUCAUGGAAUUAGACAAUUUGUUUUGAUAAUGGUUAUAUUUUAUAUAGAUUUACUUUUAUGCACUUUCAUAUUGAGUUGAUCAAAAGUUUUGAAACUUUAUAGAAAAUUUGAAUGAAAGAGCAUAUUGAUAUAUAUGCUAUCUUGAGUGUUGAAUUAAGCAUUCUUUAGUAAAAGAGUGUACAUUUCGCACAUGGUAGGUGUGUUGGUUUCUUAUAUAUUAAUUAAGCACAAAUUAAAGAAAAAUAAUAUAUAUCACCAUAGUGUUGUAAUAUUUUGUAUAAUUUGUGAAAUUAUACAAGCAAAUAAGUUUACCUAUCUUGUUAAAUAAAACUCAUUAAGUUGGUUCUUAAUCUUGAAGAAUUAAAUAGGUUGGCUUCUUUAUUCAUUUUAUCCAACUACAAGUUAGAUUAAAGUUGUGGAAAUAGAAUGGUUGAAAAUUUGUGUUAAUGAGAAUUAGAGUUAUGGCCACAACUGAUGCCAACUAUUUCCUAAAAACAGGGAAUGAUGUCCAAAAACAUGCUGUAAAAUAAAAAUUUGGACAUGUUAGAAUAUGAAUUUAUUAUAUUAUAGUUUCAAUGUAAUACCCUUAUCCCAUCUCUGUUGCCGGAUUAGGAUUUCAGAGUAUUACUGAGAAAAAUAGAACAUUUAACUUUCCAACAGAAACAAUUGUACAAUUAAAUACCAACAUAUAACAAUUGAAUCUAAUCAUGGCAAAUAUUACACUUUUGGACCUUGAAUCGAGCCUAUGGGGCCCUAGAAACAGUUUAGGAACAAUCUGGGAUCAAAUCAAAACAAAUCAGAACAUUUUGAAAAAACAUAAAAAUUUAGGAAUACAGAGGUCACAGGCCAUAUGGCCAAGUCGUGUGACAUAGCCUAGAUUGUGUAAACAUCCGAAGUCAGGACACAUAGCUGUGUCCCAGCCUGUGUGUCUACUCAUGUGUAUAUUUGAAAUAGGGUCACACAGUCGUGUUGCAGACUGCCAAACGUGUGUGUAUUCAAAGUGAGGUCGCAAGACCAUGUGGCCGACCGUGCCACAAACUGUUUUGAGACACAAGGUCAUGUCUCAGACCGUGUAAAACAUGCACUUAAAAUAAUAAAUACACACGACCGUAUCUAGUGACUAUGUGUGGCACAUGGUCGUGUGGUAGCUUGUGUCUCAGGUCGUGUGCUCCAUUUUUAACCCCUAAAUCAAGCCAAUCAAGCAUCAUUUCUUAUACAACAAGACAUACCAUAUCUAACUAAUUUUACAUGGUUAAAAACACAUUCAAAUCAACAAAUACAUGCCAAAAUUUCGUUCAUCCUAUGUCUAACCAAUAUGCCAUCAAAAGGCACCUCAAUCCAUACAUCCAUUCAACUCAAGAACAAAGUUACAAUAAAUGAACAAGUUUUAUCAUUAGUUAACCAUUCAUGCCUAAAACCACUAAUCUAAUUGACCAAAAUAUGGGCAUACUCAACAAGCAACCAUUUCAAAACAUCAUCAUCAAAUCUUUAUAUACCAUUUAUGAUCAACUUAAUUAUAUUCAACACAAGUACACAUCCAAAAUCAAGCACAUCACUAAGUAUGCCAAAAUAACUUAACUAUUUACAUAUCAACAAUAAGACACCAUAUCCCAAAAUGAAAUAAAAAAGCUACCAAGAUGGUUGGAUAGUGUGUGCUCCAAAACAAUUCAUCCGGUUAGUCCACAAAACGCCAAAUCAACCAAUAUAGAUAAACAAAAAGGUAAGUUCUAAUUCUUGAUAUUCAAAUGCAAGAUCACACCACAUUAGUAUAUAUUUAUUUACAUCAUAAAUGAUACCUUCCAAAAUUCAUAACCAAUUCAUCAUCCACAAUUUCUCAAUACAACCAUUAAUAUUUAUAAACAAGAACUUCAUAGUAACAUUUAUCAUUUAGUAGUAAUAUAAUUAUCCAACAAAAUUGAACAAAUAAAUGCGUUUUAAGUCAUUUGAUACAUAGCCUGCUGAACUAUAGUAACUUGACUCGGAUACUCAUGAUACUACAUCACACCAAAGGUAUCAAUGAUGCAUAACAGAGGCACCGAAGUGCAGACAAAUGCAUGAAUGUGCAAUCAGAGGCACCGAAGUGAAAACAGAUGCACCAAAGUACAAACCCGUACGAGUGCGCAUUAAAACCCUAUUGGCAUGCUAAUCGUAUCCUAAUUGUUUACUACGUUCAACUGGGCAUUAUACUUAAAAUCAUAAUAUCAAUAAAUCCAUCAUUUAGAGGCACUUCUUAUUUCCGUACACAUACUAUAAAUAUGUAACUUUCAUUUCAAUAAUAUGCAAUAACAAUAAUUACCAUCAUCAAACAUUCAUUUUCUAUUUGUACUUAAUUGCAAAAUUUAAUAAUAUAUAAGUAACUCAUGAAAUUUCACAUAUAUACCAUUAACUAGAAAACAAUAAUAUAAUCAUAAAGUGACACACAUAUACAUAUUAUUACACUAUGAACUUACCUAAAAUCUACUUUCGAUUAAUACACAGGGACUACUCCGCUAUUUUUUCCCUUUUCUCGGUUAUUGUCUUUUUGACUCGGUUCUUGAUCUAUAUAGUAAUUAAAUUCAAUUUAUGAAAUUCACAUACAUUUAAAACUCAAUUCAAUGCAUGAUACCCUUAUGUUUUCAUUAUUUUCACAUUUUUCUUAAACUUUUACAUUUCUCACAAUUUAGUCCCUACAAAAUUUAACAAAAUUUUACAAUUUUCCAUGUUAGUUGAACUUCUUUCGAAACUAGUACAAUCCCUAAUUAUUCACAAUUCACAAAAUUUCUAUGCAAAUUUUAAUAAUUCACACAUUGAUCAUUAAACUCAAAAUUAACACAAAUUUUUUUACAAAAAUAUCCUAAUCAACAUUCAAAUAUGUACAACUACCAUUAAAAAUCAUGAACACCAAAAUUCCAUUACUAACCAAUCCCUAAAACUUUAACAUUUUUAUAAUUCCAUCCUCGGGUUUAAUAGUUUAAGUUACAACGAGUUCAAAAACGUAAAAAUUAUUAAAAACAGGUAAGAGAAACACUUACAUGCACCAAUUUGCUAACCGAAACUUCAAGCUCCAAAAAUGGAGUUUUUUUUUUCUUUUUCGGUGGGAGAGAGUUGAGAAGAUGAUGAUACCAUUUUUUUCUUUUGUUUCUUUUCUUUAAUCAAACUAAUUACUAAAUUAUCCUUUUAAUCUAAACUAAAUUAUUAACAUAGCAUGUCCGUAAUUAUCCAUUAACUAACCAUAAGGUUUAUCUAUCAACCAAGUCCAUUACUUUAGUUUUUCUUUAAAAAUCAAGCACAUUUAACAAAUAGAAGCCACUUUAGCAUCUUUUACAAUUUAGACCUUUUUACUAAAUUAACUAAACAGACAUUAAAAUUUCUUAGCCAAAUUUUAUUAUGACUCCAAUAUAACUCUAUAAGCAUAAAAUAAACAUAAAAUACUAACUCAUUUGUCGAAAUUGUGGUCCUGAAACCACCUUUUUUGAUACCACUGAAAAAUGAGAUAUUACAUUAAAUCUCUAAUUUAUGAUAAUGAAUGUGAGAGAAUAAUUUUCUUUGUUUAGAAAUACUAAUCAUUUUCUUUGUUUAGUAAUACUACAACUAGAAUGUGUUUCGACCCUAUUAUUAGAAACUAAUAAUGGAAACCCAACUUUUAAUUAGAAACCUCUAAUUUUAAAGUUUAAUAGGUAACACCCCGAAUUUUGGCCCUAGAAGAAAUAUGUUUUGAACAAGGGAACAGUUAGGAGACUGCACAUAAAUAUUUAGUUGUGCAAGGAAGUGACAUAAAUGAAUGUCUACUUCAGUGGUUGAGUGAUUUAGGAGUGUUUGGAACUGUCUGAGAAGUCAGGGAUUCAAGCAUUGCUUAUGCAAAAUUUUUAUUUUAAGUGAAUAAAAUCAUUGGAUCUAGAUAGUAAGUUCUUAAAUUAUUGUGGUUAAAAUAUGAUGCAAAAGAGUUGUUGGUCUAGUGGUAAGGGGUGUGUGGAGUGCACAUAGGGCCUAAGGUUCGAGUGGUGGCGCAUCAGAAAGGAAAUAUUUAUUUUGCUACUUGAGCUGUUUAGGUAGUGGAGUUGGACUGAAACACAACUAAGGGGAGUUUGCAUAGAAUUUGAAUGGAGUUGUUGGGGGAGUUGAGGAGAAACCGGUAGAAUAAUUUAAGGAGGGAUAAGGGGAGAGAUUUUAGGAGAAAAUCAAGGGAAGUGAGGGGAGUGAAGAAGUGUGCCGAAAGUGGACUUUGAUACUCAGGAAAUUUGGCCAGAAGGGAUACUGCUCAUUUUGGUAUACUUUUCAUUUCGGUUUUGUGUAGUGUUUCUCUCUCUUUUUGCUUUUUGGUGCCGAAUUUUUGCUAAGAUUUCGAGUACCACUCGGGUUUUUCUUUUGCUGCUUUUUUCUUUUAUCAUUUCUUUUGUUUUGGCCGAAUUUCUUUUUAGUUCCCUCCUUUGUCGAAUUCUUUUCUCUCUUCUCUUUGUUGCUUCUUUUCAUUUCUCUAUUUUUCCAAACCUUGACCGAACAGUGUUGAAGUAGUUCUGUGUUCCAUCUUUUGUCUAAAAUGCUCUUCUUCCUCUACUCCUUUUGAUCAACUAUUUGUCGAAUAUUGCCUUCUCUCCCCUUUUAUCUCUUUAAAUUUAUUUUCGGCUUGACAACAAUUCUCUAACAGUUCAAAUUUCUUGAGGAGUGAAAAAGUAUCGCAUAAUAUUAAAGUCAUCGAAACCUUUCUCUCAUCACUCGAUCAAAGGUAAGUAUGUAGGCUAGCAUUCUAAAGUGUAGGCUGAGUGCUUUCUAUGGUUUCAUAAGUUAUUAUGUUUGGAUUUAAACCACAUGAAUAAACAAUCCUAUUUAAUAAAAUCCGUUUGUAAUGCAGAUAUCCAUCAAAGAGAUUGUAGUCAACCUUCGUCAGUGAUAUAAGUAGGCUAAGUCACAUUUGACAAUCGAGGCUUUGGUGCUCGUGGAUCUUAGAGUGUUUUCACAAUCAGGUGUGUAAACACCCCACUGUAACCGUAGAACGACAAAAAGCUAAAAGGCCAAAAAUACGGUGUUUGAGACCACACAGGCGUGCGAUCUCUCAUGUGGUAAGCCCAACCCACAAAUCAUGGCCGAUAGACUGUAGAGGCCUCCAUGAACAUUUCCAUGGGCUUAGGCCGUAAUGGGCCACGUUGGGCCGAAAUGGGUCGUGUGGGUUCAAUAGGCUCGUGGGCACCAUACAGAUGAGAACCACGAUUUGUGAAAAAUACUGGACUGGGCUAUGAAGAUCUCAUAGCCGUGGAAAAAUCUGGGCUGAACAGGCCGCACAAGCGUGCGGGCCUACUUGGGCCGAGUAAUGGGCCUUAGGCCCAUUUGUACCAUUAUGACCAUUUAGGUUACCUGAGUCGCUCGAGGUAACUACGGACCUUUCGAGAGGUCGAUAUCUGCACCAAGACCCAAAAUAGGUAAAAUGAUCGAAAUACCCCUAUAGAGUAAAAUGACCGAAAUACCCCCAAAGGAUAAAAUGAUUGAAAUACCCCUAUAAGGUAAAACGAUCGAAAUACCCCCGUAGGAUAAAAUAACUAUUAUACCCCUAGAAGAUGAAAUGACUGUUAUGGCCUUAUGCUAUGUAUGACUGUUUUGCUCUAUGAUAUGUAUGACUAUGGUUGAGCAUGACAUUUUUCAUACACGUAUGAUAUUAUGUCAUGAUAUAUUGCAUGGGGAUGGAUUGUUAUAUUUGGAGGAAGUGUACUGUACUGACAAGGUUGCACGGGUCGCCCAAGACGACUGUGGACCUACUGAUGGCUAUAUGCCAUUUAUUUUACUGGCAGCUUUGCUGCAAUACUGUUUAAUGCUGCAACUGGUGCUAAUCUUGGUGUGUUUGGAUGGAUGGGUAGAUUUUAUCCCCCAUAUGGUGUGUUUGGCGGAACUGUAACACCCUUAACCUGAAUCCAUUCUGACAUUGUCUCACAAAAUUUAUUAUAUCUCAUAGUUUACAAUUUUAUUACUUACACCAUUUCUUCCAUGAGAAACUAGACUCAAUAAGUUUUAAUUCUAUAUUUUAUUCAUACUCUAAUUCGAUUUUCAUAAUUUAUGGUGAUUUUUCAAAGUGAGCCUACUGUUGUUGUCCAAAACUAUUUUAGUACAAGAUGUUUAUUACCAUGUUUAUAACACCCUUAUUUUCUUUCUCUACACUAUUUCUCAUCCCUUUCUCUUAUUUUCUCUUCACUUACAUAUUAAGAACAUAGGACCAUAUAUACAAAAAAACUUUACACUAACAUCAUUUCCAUACUUUUUCAAUAAUAUCAAACUUAAAAAUAUACUAAAAUCUUGAUGUACUUACCUUGUCAUAUUGAUUUUAAUCUUUAACUUGAUUUUCUCUCUCCUCCAGCUUCUAUUUCUUGAAUCUAACUUGAUAUUAUAGCUCCCCAUAGUCUCCUUGUAAUCUUUCUCUCUUGAUGGAUAUGGAAAUUCUUUUGAUUUCUAGAUGAAAAUAGUGAAUUUUUGGUGAAAGGACUAAAUUGUAAAGAAAGCAAAACUUUCUUUCUUCUCUUCUCCUCUUAACGUGAAUUGCAUGGAAAAGAUGGUGGGUUGGUUCCUUUUCAUCUUUCUUUCCACAUAUAUAUACUAAAUAAUAAAAUAAUAAAAUAUCAUUUAAAAAUCAAAUUAAAAUACUAAUAAACUAAUAUUUAUUUGUUUAUUUAAUCUAAAAUAUCUCCAACAUCAUCAUUAUCUUCUAGAUUUCUCUCUCUUCUAAUUGACCAUUUUGCCCUUCAUGAUAUUUUAAAAUUCCAUCCUUGAGUCAUCACUUAAUUUCGUAAAAUUUCAAUUUAGUCCCUCAAAAUUCCUCACCUUUUUUCAAUUUAGUCCUAAUACAUCCAUUUUCCUUAGUUUCUAGAUCAUUCCACCCUUAAAAUAUUUACACCAUUGGUCCUUCAAUUUUUUCAUAUUUACACUUUAACCCCUCAAUUUUUGAGUAUUUACUCUUGGGCAACAAAAUUUUUACGAUUUAAUCCUUUCUUGAGGUAAUAUGUCAUAAUAUACUUCCCAAUGUUGACAUAACUCCAAAAUUCCCUUUUUUGUCGCUUUAUUUCCUUAUUUUUUUAUAUCAAAGAUAAUAUCUUACUGUAAAAAUUUUUUUGGGGGGUAUUACAUUUCUCUCCCCCUCAAAAUAAAUUUCGUCCUCGAAAUUUCCUUAUUUUCUUUUGAUCAUGAACUUAUUUUUUCUUUAAUUCUAUAGUUCAUUUUUUUUGCAUAUAUUUACUUAGCUUAUCAUUUGUGUCUAUUCUUUAUUCUUUCAUUUCACAAUUUAUUUUUAAUUUAAUAUUUCAAACAUGAAUCAGAGAUAAACUUUUACCUUGUAACUAAAAUUAUUUACCUUUUUACCUGAGGCCCAGUGGACUAAAUAGAACACGUAGGAUAUAUGAAAUUGAUACAGAAGUGCUCUGUUAUACAUCAUUAAACAGAGAGCACUAAAGUGUUAUACGGGAGCAUAAAUGUGCUAAUAAUUGGAGAGCACUAGCGUGCUAUUAAUCAGAGAGUGCGCUAAGGUUCCUUAAUGAUAUACUACUAAUAUCCUAAUAGUUCUAAUCUCAUCUACUUGGGCAAAUUAUAUCAUGCAUGCAUACGACUUUUACACUUUGCGCAUAAUGCUUUUACAUACUUUACAAUUUAAACCUUGUACCAAUGAUUCGUAUAUUUAUACCUUCUCUACCUUUAAUACAUGUAAUAUAUUUCAAAAUUCACUAAUAAUCCAUAUAUAUCAUGUACUUCAUAUAUCAUUUUUACAUAUUAUGCAAUUUAGUCAUCAGCGCAAUAUUUCUUGUAGCAAUAUGUUUUUCUUUUAAUGACACAUAUAACAUUCAUCAUCGACAUGUAUUAUAAAACAUUUAUUCAUACUUUCAUGAGUUCCAAUUCAUCCUAAUCAAUUUUUUUUACUCAUAUACUUGAGUAUCACUUUCAACAUUAUCAGAAUUAGCUCGGUUAGGAAAACAUCUCUGUUUAUAAGUAAAACAAUUCUCAUCAGACUCGAGAGAUAUCACACUAUCACAGGUUACAUAAUGGCAUGCAUUUCUAGACUUCACAUAAGCUACGUUUGGUCCAAGAACCGACUAAAUCGUAGCUCUGAUACCAAUAAAUGUAACACUCUUAACCCGAAUCCAUUCUGACAUUGUCUCACAAAAUUUAUUAUAUCUCAUAGUUUACAAUUCUAUUACUUACACCAUUUCUUCCAUGAGAAACUAGACUCAAUAAGCUUUAAUUCUAUAUUUUAUUCAUACUCUAAUUCGAUUUUCAUAAUUUAUGGUGAUUUUUCAAAGUGAGCCUACUGUUGCUGUCCAAAACUAUUUUAGUACAAGAUGUUUAUUACCAUGUUUAUAACACCCUUAUUUUCUUUCGCUACACUAUUUCUCAUCCCUUUCUCUUAUUUUCUGUUCACUAACGUAUUAAGAACAUAGGACCAUAUAUACAAAAACUUUACAUUAACAUCAUUUCCAUACUUUUUCAAUAAUAUCAAACUUAAAAAUAUACUAAAAUCUUGAUGUACUUACCUUGUCAUAUUGAUUUCAAUCUUUAACUUGAUUUUCUCUCUCCUCCAGCUUCUAUUUCUUGAAUCUAACUUGAUAUUAUAGCUCCCCAUAGUCUCCUUGUAAUCUUUCUCUCUUGAUGGAUAUGGAAAUUCUUUUGAUUUCUAGAUGAAAAUAGUGAAUUUUUGGUGGAAGGACUAAAUUGUAAAGAAAGCAAAACUUUCUUUCUUUUCUCCUCUUAACGUGAAUUGCAUGGAAAAGAUGGUAGGUUGGUUCCUUUUCAUCUUUCUUUCCACAUAUAUAUACUAAAUAAUAAAAUAAUAAAAUAUCAUUUAAAAAUCAAAUUAAAAUACUAAUAAACUAAUAUUUAUUUAUUUAUUUAAUCUAAAAUAUCUCCAACAUCAUCAUUAUCUUCUAGAUUUCUCUCUCUUCUAAUUGACCAUUUUGCCCUUCAUGAUAUUUUAAAAUUCCAUCCUUGAGUCAUCACUUAAUUUCGUAAAAUUGCAAUUUAGUCCCUCAAAAUUCUUCACCUUUUUUCAAUUUAGUCCUAAUACAUCCAUUUUCCUUAGUUUCUAUAUCAUCCCACCCUUAAAGUAUUUACACCAUUGGUCCUUCAACUUUUUCAUAUUUACACUUUAACCCCUCAAUUUUUGAGUAUUUACUCUUGGGCAACAAAAUUUUUACGAUUUAAUCAUUUCUUGAGGUAAUAUGUCAUAAUAUACUUCCCAAUGUUGACAUAACUCCAAAAUUUCCCUUUUUGUCGCUUUAUUUCCUUAUUUUUUUAUAUCAAAGAUAAUAUCUUAGUGUAAAAAAAAAUUUUUUGGGUAUUACAGGAACAGAGUGGUGUGUAGAGGCUGGAUUGGGUAGGAUUUCUAACUGCAUAUCUACACUAAUUAAUGAUUUUGUAUUGUUACUACAUCGAUUAAUGAUAUUACAUACUGUUUACUGCAUGACUGAUAUUUGUUGCUGUUAUGGGCCAAGGCCCCACUGAUACUAUUACUGAAAUUGGGCAAAUGCCCUAUUGAUUAUUGGUAUUGUGAUGGGCUCAAGCCCAAUCGUUUAAUGUUACGGGAAAGGGCUUAGGCCCACACUGAACUGGACUGUUACUAUAACAGGCUCAGGCCCAAACUGUAUUUAUCUAUUGUUUAAUUGACUACUUACUUGUUAGGGGAUUGCACACUGAGUUUUCGUAAACUCAACCCGUUGUUUAACUGUACAGGUAAUCCCUAGUUGUAGUAGGGUCAGUGCUGCGAGGGACUCGAUGAUGGCCACACAACUGCAUCAGCUUUUGUUUUUAGCCUUUGAUUUAUAAGAAACUGAAUUUGGGUAUUUUUAUGUAAAAAGGCCUCUUUAAAGUUAUAAACUUUAAAUUGGGGUUUUUAUUUAUUUAGUUUGAUAUAAACUACUAGUUGUAGAAAAAGACGGGUUUUCAAAAGGUAAAUGUUUUCAAAGUUUCAAAAGGUAAAUGUUUUCAAAGACACCACGUUUUCGCAACAUUUCUAAAAAAAAACUUCCGCAAUGAAUGAGAUUUUGGAAAAUUUAUAACGUUUUAAAAGUGAUUAGCUUUUAAUGAUGCAUGCUUGGAAAUGAACAACCCGUUUUGGAAUCAUAGUUUAACAGCAAAAUGAUUAAUUGAUUUUAAAGAUUUCAACGACAACAAGUUUUACGCUAAACACCUUAAAGUGACACCGCCAGAUUCAACCAUAACUCCUAGGCCGGGUUUGGGGUGUUACAAUGUGUUUCAACCCUAUUAUUAGAAACUGAUACCCUAUUAUUAGAAACUGAUAAUGGAAACACAACUUUUAAUUAGAAACCUCUAAUUUUAAAAUUCAAUAGGUAAAAGCAAGUUAUCGUUAAGUGCCUGUGAUACGCUAGUAAAACUCAUUCUAGAAAAAAAAGUUUAAUGGAAACAAUUGUUAUCCAUUGCGUAUAGAGGAUGAAUUUGAAUACUAUUAAUUAAGUUCAUUGUUUAUUGUUUAAAUGUCUAAAGUAAGGGAGACAUUAAAAGAACUCUACCUUUAUAAACAUAAGAAGUGGUGCCACUUCAACAAGUAAAGGUAGGGUCUCUCUUGUAAAUGUUUAUUAUGAACAAGAUAAGCACAUGAUCAUUUUAGUGCUAAAAGUGAACAACCUCUGAUAGAAAUAUAAACGAAUAUUAUGUAUAGUGUAUUUCAACUUCUAAUACUAGGAGUUGUGGUUCAAUCUUCGGACACCGACAACUUAUUAAAACUUUGAAAAGCAUCCGCUUAUUGAUGGUUCAUAUUGAGAGGUAUCAUCUUUAAUGCAUAAUAUUUGUUUGAGUGAAUGACCAUAAAGUAUGGUACCAACAUUUAAACUAAGGGUGAUUGUUAGUAGUUUAUAAUUUUGGCAGUAAAAAUAUUUUAUUAUGUAGAAAAGUCUAAUAAAUUAUAAUUAUUGGUCAAAUAGUUGUGUUGUAAAGACAAUUUUUGUAUGUAAAGUUGUCUUAUAAACUUUAUGUAAAGUUGUGUUGUAAAACAACAAAAUUAUAUGAAAAUGUAUCUUAUUAAAAGAUACAUCCAUAUGAAAGGGUAUCUCAUGAAAAGAUACACCUAUUAGAUGUCUAUAUAAAAGAUUUUUCUGUUAGUUAUUUAAAUUGUUUUGCUUGGAGUGUUGAGGGCUUUGUUGUAUCUUGAAGGUAUUUUAAAAUCUUAAAGAAAGUGCUCUACACACCUUAAAGUCAUUAUAUUUUAUAACAUUAUUUUAUUUUUCUAACUUUUAUUUUCCUAUUAUUUAUUUUUCUAACAGCUAGAAUAUAGGAAAAUUAUUAUGUUUCUAGCUAUAUAUUGAAUACAAGUAUGUUGGUGUUUAGAACUCGAACUUUGAUGGUUGAUCGAGAGAUUUGAAGCAGAAAGAAGAGACGGGAAGUUUUAAGUAGAAAAAUAAUUGAAGACUGGAAUAUAUAAUUGAUUUGCACCUCAACUAUUUAAAUACAAAAGUUCAAGCUAAAAAUAGAAAAAAAAAGUUCUAAAAAUCUGCUAAAAAUCUGGUAACAAAAUAGCAAACAAAUCAAAAAUCUAAUCUCCUAAAGUCAAGGAGAAUUAUUCAAACUUAGUAACAGAAAAAAUUUAAAUGGCAGCAAUCUUAAACACAUGAUCUUAACACUCCUCCUUGUUUAGAUGCUACAAACUCCAAGUUUCUUCCUGAAGCUUUCAAACUUGCUAAGUGGCAAUGGUUUGGUGAAGAUAUCUGCAAUUUGAUCUUCAGAUUUGUAGUAACAAAGAGACACAUCACCACUCUUUUAAACUUCUCGAACAAAAAAUAACUUGAUGUUAAAAUGCUUAGUCUUCCCAUGAAAGACUGGAUUGUUAGAGAUUGCAAUGGCAGCCUGGUUAUCAACUAGAAUCUUUGUGCUUUGCUUCUACUCCAUGUUUAGAUCAACAAGAAUCUUCCUUAACCAGAGAGCUUGGUUAACUGUUGCUGUUGCAGCCAUAAAUUCUGCCUCAACAGUGGAUUGAGCUACAGUUUCUUGCUUCUUCGAGCUCCAAGAGAACAUGCCUGAUCCAAGGCAAAAACAAUAACCAGAGGUACUCUUCAUAUCAUCAGUUAAGCCACCCCAAUCACUGUUAGAGAAACCAAUCAACUUCAAUUCCCUAUGCUUUAAAAACUUUACUCCAUAAUUCCAGGUCCCCUUGAUGUAUCUGAUAACUCUUUUUGCAGCUCUCAUGUGAGUCUCAUUGGGACAAUGCAUGAAUCUGGAGAGAAUACUUACAGCAUUCAAGAUGUCGAGUCUGGUUGUUGUUAAGUACAUUAGACAACCUACCAAACUCCUGAACUCAGCUUCAAUGACUUUGGCAGAACCAUCAUCUUUGAUUAGCUUCUCUUUUUGAUUCAUAGGAGUACUCAUUGCUUUGCAAUCUUCCAUAUGGAAUUUUCUAAGUAUCUCCUUUGCAUACUUUCUUUGACAGAUGAACACUUCAUCUUGGCUUUAUUUGAUCUCAAUGCCAAGGAAAUAAGACAUCAGAUCAAGGUCUGUCAUUUCGAAGACAUUAUGCAUUUCCAAUUUAAACUGAUUAACUUGAUCGAUAUUGCUCCUUGUAAUCAAUAAGUACAAAUAAGCAAGCUUUUUCCUUUGAUUUCCUUAUCUUCUUUUCUUUUUGUGCUUUAAUCUGUGCCACAGUAGGAUUUGCUGGAAGAGGUGGGACCUCGUAAUCCUCUUCUACAGGUUCCCAAAGAUCCAAAGCCUCUAUGUAAGUCUCCAUGCGAACUGCCUACAUCUGGUAAUUGUCUCCAUCGAAGACUGGUGGUGCAGCAACUGAAAAACUGGACCCUCCUUCCAUAUUAACACGCAAAUAACCUAACAAAUCCCUCAAGAAAAUAGCUCUGAUACCAAUUUGUUGGUGUUUAGAACUCGAACUUUGAUGGUUGAUCGAGAGAUUUGAAGCAGAAAGAAGAGACGGGAAGUUUUAAGUAGAAAAAUAAUUGAAGACUGGAAUAUAUAAUUGAUUUGCACCUCAACUAUUUAAAUACAAAAGUUCAAGCUAAAAAUAGAAAAAAAAUGUUUUAAAAAUCUGCUAAAAAUCUGGUAACAAAAUAGCAAACAAAUAAAAAAUCUAAUCUCCUAAAAUCAAGAAGAAUUAUUCAAACUUAGUAACAGAAAAAAUUUAAAUGGCAGCAAUCUUAAACCCAUGAUCUUAACAAAGUACUACUUGGAAGCCAACACCCACAAACAUGAUAAAAGUUAAUUUUGAUGAGAGUUUUGACAUGGAAGCAAGAAAUGAGGAAGAGGGUAGUUAUGCAGCAUUGUGAUGAUUUUUUAGUCUGACUAUGCAACCAUCCAAUUUAGGGUGCAUUCUCCAUUGUGGUGAAAAAGCACUUAAAGAACAUUUGGUUUUUGCACUUAAAAUGUGAUGGAAAAAUGUUUUUCCACCCAAAUACAAAAACUAGGAUAUAAAUGUUUUUGACUUUUAGCUUUUAUGUUUGGAAGUGAAAAUUAUCAAAAUAUCAUUAUUUAUAUUAACUAUUUAAAUGGUAUAUAAAAAUUAGAUUAAUUUAUAUUUUAUAUAUCAUUAUAUUAAAUUAUUUAAAUAUUAUUUAUUAUUAUAUAUUUUAAUAAUUUAUAUAUCAUCUAUUUUACAAAUAAUUUAUAUUAAUUACUUAAAAAAUAUUUGGAACUUAUAUUUCAUGUAUCAUUAUAUUAAAUUAUUUAAAUAUCACAUAAUUUAACUAAUUUUUUACUUUCCACUAUCAUGUCUAAAGAAAAGGAUAUUUUAACUUUUAACAAGAAUUUUUUGUAGCAAUGGAGAACACCAAAAAUUAAUAAACACACUUUUUCAUAGUAAUUUUCAACCACACUUUUCAACCGCAACCCUAAUGAAGAAUUAAUCCUUACUAAAGUUACCGAAGCACUAGCUUCCACCGUAGCCAUUGAAAUGGCGCUCCAAUUGGGAUUGCAACACAUUAUUAUUAAAGGAGAUGCUCUCCAAGUGGUUUCGGAGUUGAAGGAAGACAAAGGAGACCUACCAACAACCGGACCUUGAUAGCAAAGAGUUGAAUACUUGCUAAACAGGUUCAGCAAUGUAGGUUUCAACACAGGAAGAGGCAUGCUAAUGAGGUGGCACAUCAUCUGACCAAACAGGGCCUUAAUUGUUUUCCAUCUUUUGUUCAUAUGUUUGUUUUGAAAAGGUAAAACAAAUCCUCACCUAUUGAUGUUAGAACGGUUGAAUUGCUAAAAGCAUGCUGCAUGCAUAACCAUGCUUUAGGUUAGGCUUCAAAUUAAAUAAAUUUUAAAUUAUUUUUAUUUAAAUUUAAUUAUAAAAAUAAAUUAAUAUCAAUAGAAAAUUAUAUAAAAUUUUAAGAUAUUUUAUUUUUCAAUAAUAAAACGAAUCAUUCACCAAACCUAAUUCUUCAAUUUCUUUUUAAUUAGAUCACAACUCAAGCCAAGCUAACCAAUAAACACCCAAAAUCUACCAUCAUUUUCAUUUUCAUUUUUUUUUCUUUUGUGACAAAGUAGACAGAAGAUUCGGUUUGGAUAAGCUCUACGUUAUUAAGUCAAAAGCUGAAGUAAUUUUAAUCAUAAAUUGUUUUAUUUGUCUAUAAUGCAAAACAAUGACCCAGUUAGUACAAUAAAGCUUUAACUUUGUGGAACAUUUCAGUCCAAAAAAAAAAAAAAAAAGAAUUGUGGAAAUUUUAGAGCAGUUGACCAUUUCUUCGGAAUUAGUUUUCUCACUUCUUGUCCAUAUUCCAUGUAUAUUAUUUCAAGAAAUUAGGUUUAGAAAUUUGCAUAAUUCAACCAUUGAACUAAUAAAUAUUAAACAAAAAUUGGGUGGCAAAAAAAAUCUUAUUAAAAUCAUAUACUAUUACUAAAAUUUAUGAUUAAAUUAGUGUCACGAGUUAACGGGACAUUAACAAAUUAUAUUAUUUGAGGGUAUUUUAAUCUUUUUAUUAAAAAAGAUGAUGUCUCAAAUUAACUCACAAUCUAAUCUAAUUUUUCAUUUUAAUAUUGUAAAUAUUUCAUGUUUUAUUAUUAAUUUGUUUCAAAUUAUACAUUUCAUUAUUUAUUUUAUGUUAUUUUUAAACACAUCUGUAUUCUAAGUACCUAAUUUUCACUUAUGGGUAUCAGAGGCGAAUCUAGGGAGGCUGAUAGGGGUCUCGGUCCCCUUAAAAUAGAAAAUUAUUAUUUAAGCCAUUUAGAAAAUUUUAAAAUUUUAAAUUAGUAAAUGUAAAAUUACACUUUGACCCCUCUAAAAUUAUAAAAAUUUGAUUUAAUCCUUUAAAAAUUAUAAAGAUAUAAACUAUUAAAAAUAAAAAUUUCAUUUCGGCCCUGCCUAAAAAAUUUUUUUGACUUCACCCCUAAAGUAUGAUAGAGUUUCUAGUAUGAAUAAUUUUCUUUGGAAGUGUUAAACAAACAAAGGAGUUAAGUAAACAGUAGUUUUCAUACAGAAAUAUUCGGCGUUGAUGUUUCCCUUUCGAAUAAUUAAAUUAAGACUUAGGAAAAGGGAAAACAAUGAAAAAGAAACUAAAAUUGAGCUUAAUUUAUGGAGUUGGGUUAAAAUUUUAAUAUUUAAAUAUAAAAAUUCUAAUAAUUUGAUCUGGUCCGUUUCAUCUAGCAGACUAAUAAUAAAUCUUAAAACAUAUUAUAUUUUAAUUUAAAUAAAACCAAAACUAAUACACUUGACCUACAUCUACAUGUGAUCUAUGCUUCAUUUAAAUUAGUCUAAAUUAGACGAGAUCUUGAUUAGGAGUCAUUUAUUUAUAUUAUAAGUCCCUGAAACAUGCAAAACUUACAUUUAAAAAUUAAUAUUUUUACGUUGUUGUUAGAAUAUAGGGUUUGUUAAUGUUUUCGUGUGAAGUCAGCUGUUGACAUUACCAAUCAGAUAAUGAAAAGGAAACAUGGCAAUUAUUCCAUCCUAAUUGUCACCAAAUUAAGUUAAUCCAAAAAUUACCAAACGUUUAGUACUUCAAUGGUAGAGUCAGCUCUUUCUUCUAGUCUAUCAAAAAAAGUCAAUUUAACCCCUAACUCUUGGAUGGAAAAGUUUUUGCUAUGAACUUGUUGAAGUGAAUCUCAUGUGAUAUAAACGCAUCGCAAUCUCCGUGUGUAACUAAAAAUAUUUGAGAGAUUGAAUAAUUUAAAGGGGAAAAAAAAAGAAUUUACUCCCUCCACUAACAAAUUACUCUUGCCAACGUAUGUAUGAAAGUAAACACCUUUAAUUAAUCAACAAAUGCUAAAGUUCGAGGUUUAGAAUUAAUUAAAUACCAAUAUAAAUAGUUAAUUACUUUUUUGAAAUAAGGAUAAAUCAGUUUGUGAGGUUUGAAUUUUUUGUAUCUUAACAAUUGUUCUGACUUUAGAGUUUGAAGGUUUUUUUUUUAUCCAAAUUAACCUAUGAACUUAGUAAUUUGUCUCUCAUUAAGGUUUAAAUUUUUUAUUUAUCUAAGUUAAUUCUUAAAAAUCUUGAAAUUCGAGAAUAAUUGUCAAGUUAAAAAAAUUUAGAUUUCAAUAUGAGAAUAAUCUACUAGUUCGUAACCUUAAUAUAAAAACAAUUGUUAAGUUGAAAACUUAAUUUAAAAACAAAUUCAAACCCUUCUUAAGUUUACGAUUUAACCCUUUGAAAUAUUGCGUUAACUAGUAAGAGUAAGAAUUAUUUUGUGUUGAUGAUUAAAUAAAUAUUUAAGUGGAGAUCAAGUUUUACCUCAUUUGUCAAUUGUCAGGUGAAGAAUAUAUACCCCUAAAGGCCUAUCAAAAACGGACCUAUCUCUAUCUAUAUAUCUUAACUAAUUUACUAUUCAUUUUUAAUGAAAAUCAAUAAAUCAAUGAAAACGUUAUAAAAAGAAAACUACGUGAAUAAAUUAUAUGUGUAAAAUUGAAAUAUUUCUUAUUUUAGUACAAUGGUAAGGAACAUUACAUUUUUAAGGAAAUGAUGUCAGGUUCAAACCUUAAAGAUAAUAUUCUUCUUCUUGAGAAGAACAAUCCCAAACUCCAAAAUGAACCCUUAUGAAUUAUAUAAAAAAAUUUUGAAAUAUUUCUAUAAAAUAUCAUUAAAGUUUUUUAUUUAAAAAAUGUUAUGGGUAUACUUUUACCUCUUGUAAAAAAGUCUUUCAUUUCUCAAUUCUUAUGGCAUAGUAAAUUUAUCAUUAAUUUUCAUCUUUAGGUAAAAAAAAUGGUUAUUAUUUGUGUAUUAAAUAAUUGUUAGGAUAAAUUUUAAAAUUGUAUAUGAAUUUUGGUUUAAUGUUAAUUAUAUACAUUAAUUUUAAUUUUAUGUAAUUUUAUAAAUGAAAUUUUAAUUUGAUCCAAUUCUAACAAAUUAUUAACACAGUUAUUGAUAUAACAUCAUUUUAUGUUUAUAUGCUAUAUACAGAAAUAAUUAUGUUUAUUCAAUAUAAAAAUAAAUUGAUGUAUUUAUUUCUUUAAACAUAUAUGAUUGAAUCAAAAUUAAAACAUCGUGUAUAUAUUUGAACCACAAUUAAAAUUUUACAUAUAAAAUUACAUAAAAUUACAAUUUAUAUACGUAAUAAACUAAAAUUCAUAUAUAAUUUUAAGAUUUAUGUCCACAAUUCUCUAAAGCUAAACGGUGAUGAUUACCAUGGAAAUUCAAUGUACUUAACUAAUUGGUUGAUAGGAACAGGCAUGAUGAAAUCCAUGAUGGGAAGAGAGAGAAUUCAAAAACUGGAAUGCCCCCAUUAAUCCAUGCAAAUAAACUUUUUCGGUAUUACAUCAUAAUUCAUUUAAUUUUAUCAUCAUCUCUAUGCCAUAACCAUGUUUAAAGUAAAAUACUUAUAUAAAUUGAGACAUUAAUAGUUUGUAUUAUAUAAAUUAUGACAUCCAUAUAUCCAUAUUAUAAUUUUUAUGAAAAAUUAGAGCUGGCAGAUAAAAAAUGGCUUACUGAUCAAUGAAAAAUAAACUUUAUUUCUUGUAAAUUGACUUAUCCUUUUAAAAAGUAUAAAUAUUUUUUUAAAAUUCAUUUAUGAGUAAUUUUAUUAUUAUAAAAAUUAAUUUUGCAAAGUCUAAUAUUAUUAUAUUAAUAAUUUUAUUUUAAAACUAUUUAAAAAUACUAAUAUCAAAUAUUAUAAUGUUGAAUCCUAGUAACAUACAUAUUAAAUUAUUUAAAUUAUGUAAUAUUGCAAUUUUAUUUUAAUACUAAAUUUUAACAACAAUAAUUUUAAAUUUUAGAUCAUAUUUUUAAUAUAUUAUUGAAAAAUAUUUAUAUUAAUAUUUUAAUAAUAAAUAUAUAUAUUAAAAUUUAUAAAUAUUUAAUAAUAAAUGUUUUAUAGUAUAAAAUAUGAAUAUUUUAAUUAUAUAGAUAUGAGCAUUUGUUUAAAUCAUGUUUAGUUUCAUUUAUCUCCCAACUAUAAUGUGUUAUUAUACACCGUCAUAUAUAUAAUAUAUGUAAUUUAAGCAUUGUUUAUUAUUAAAUUUAUAUAUGAUAUUAAUUAUUAUAAAAUAUUAUCUUAUUAUAAAAGAAAUUCUAAUUAUCAAAAAGAAAUGUUACUUUAAUAUUUUGUAACAAGUAUAUUUAUGUUGGGCUUGUUUCAAUAAUAACUUUAAAAUGAUUUUAGAAAAAAAAUUGUCAAAUAAUAAAAAAAUAUUUUAAGCAAAAUAAUUCAAACACAAAAAACUAUCAACUUUUCCAUAAAAUCAAUCCAAUUUUAAGAAAACAUUUUGUGAAAAUUGUUUUAGGUAAAACAAAAGGAACCUAUAUUUUAUAUAGUAUUUGAAAAGUUGUUGUAUCUAGAAUUAUUAUCUUAAAUAUUUUUUUAGGUCUAAUUUUAAAUUUCAUCCCUUUAUGAAAAUUGAGAAGUUAAAUUUUCUAUUUUACUUUAUCAGUCUGUGCUUGAUUGUUUAUUAAUUUGUCGUGUAUAAAUGGUUAAAUUAUUGAUUUUUGUUAAUUACUAGCAUGUAAAUUGUCAAACUACUUGUUCUCAAGGGAACGGUAAAGUUUAAUAGUAUUAUCAAUUUAGAACAAUUUUUGAGUUUUUUCUUUUAUUUUUCAUGUUCGAGUCCAUAAUUACUCCUUCUAAUAAUGUCGUCUUUAAAGUUUGAGUUCGAAUUCAAAUUCUCUUUUUGGAAGUACAAUAUGCCUUAUAAUUAUACCUAAUACUUUUGAUUUUUGUAAAAUAUAAGAAUCAAAAUUGUGUAGUAGGAUUAAUUUCUAGAUUUUUUAAAUUUAAAAUUUAUAAUAUUAUCAAUCGCAUCACACACAAAACCAAAGAACAAGAGAAUCUAAAAAACACGUGGACCAUUAAUUUAGGAAUGGACAUUAUAUUUUAUUAGUGGAAUAAACUCAUGCAAAAUGGUUGGAAAACACAUACAGGAUUAUAUAUACUAAUCAUUUUUAUUAUUAAGCAGAAUCGGAAAUAAAUAAAUACGAGCGAAACCACUGAAUAAUACAGCAUUGAAAUGCAAUUUGUCUACAUCAUUAUUGUUCUUCACUUCAAACGCGGAGACUAGUCUAGGCUCCCAAUCUUUUGCUUUAUCUCUCUAGAUAUAUCCUUUUCAAACUAUCUUUUUGUAGCUUUAUUUGCAUCACAGCAUUAUCUUUUCCUGCAAACAACUGUUCAAUGAUUAAAACAUGCAAAACAUUCUGAAAUAAUGCACCCUUACCAGAUGACAAAAAAAAAAAAAGAUUCUAAUGUAUCUUACCUUGGAUUGGAGCACGGUCAAAGCCGUGGCUUAGUAGUGGUGAGGAGGAGGGGGUGAAGCGUAGACAUAAUGGGGUGGUGGUGGUGGAGGAGACUUGUAUUUGUAAACUGGAGGAGGAGGUGGUGGAGACUUGUACUUGUAAGGGUGCUUGGGGGGUGAUGGUGGGGGUGGUGGGGGUGACUUGUACUUGUAGGGGUGCUUGGGUGGUGACGGUGGGGGUGGGGACUUGUACUUGUAAGGAUGCUUGGGGGGUGAUGGUGGUGGUGGUGGAGGUGACUUGUACUUGUAGGGGUGCUUGGGUGGUGACGGUGGGGGUGGGGACUUGUACUUGUAAGGGUGCUUGGGUGGUGACGGUGGUGGUGGUGGGGGGGACUUGUACUUGUAGGGAUGCUUUGGUGGGGAUGGUGGUGGUGGUGGUGGGGACUUGUACUUGUAGGGAUGCUUAGGUGGUGAUGGUGGUGGUGGUGGAGACUUGUAUUUGUAAGGAUGCUUUGGUGGUGAUGGUGGUGGAGGUGGUGGGGACUUGUACUUGUAAGGGUGCUUGGGUGGUGAUGGAGGUGGAGGUGGUGGAGACUUAUACUUGUAAACUGGAGGUGGUGGGGGUGGAGACUUGUACUUGUAAGGGUGCUUGGGUGGUGACGGAGGUGGAGGUGGUGGAGACUUAUACUUGUAAACUGGAGGUGGUGGGGGUGGAGACUUGUACUUGUAAGGGUGCUUGGGUGGUGAUGGUGGGGGUGGGGGUGGCGACUUGUACUUGUAGGGGUGUUUAGGUGGUGAUGGUGGUGGUGGUGGUGGUGGUGGGGACUUGUACUUGUAAGGAUGCUUGGGUGGUGAUGGUGGUGGAGGAGACUUGUACUUGUAAGGAUGCUUGGGUGGUGAUGGUGGUGGAGGUGGUGGAGACUUAUACUUGUAAACAGGAGUUGGUGGGGGAGGAGAUUUGUACUUGUAAGGUUUCUUGUGUGGUGGUGGUGGUGGAGGAGAGUAGAUCGGAGGAGGCGGUGGGGGAGACUUGUAAUGGUAGGGUGGUAGUGGGUUCUUCUUAG
rnacentral:lncRNA from 1 species